GCGAAGGGAAAAGUUAAAGCCUUAGGAAAAAAAAUUAAGGAGAGAUGCUGCGUCCAACUUGCUAGGCAGCAACGUGCCGCCUGCUGGAGCGGCCUCCAGCGCGUGGGAUUCCCAGGUCAGGUGUCCGCGUGCCUGUCAGGCGGAGCGCGCACGGGUCGAGACGUGUGUGUGUGUGUGUGUGUGUGUGUGUGUGUGUGUGUGAGUCUUGGUGUGCGCGCGUGCGUGUGUCCGUGCGCGCGUGCGUGUGUAUGUGUGGCCACGGGGAGGGGGGGGGCGCGGCGUCAGCUGUGAGGAGGAGAGCUCGCCACCCUAGCCCAGUAGCCCGCGGGGCUGGCUUUCCCCCUCGCGCGCUUGCCUUGCGCGCUCUCCUCCAUCCCCUGUUGGUGGGCAGCGCGCUCUGCUGAGCUCAUGGAAAAACGUGCAGCCCUUUUUCUCCUAAUGCCCCCCCCCCCACCUCCUUUCCACCCCCAGCACAUCAGUUUCCAGGAAACUGAAAUCCCCAAACUAGCAGUUGCCAGUUUAAGGUUUCACCUCUAUAGCGAGGGAUCAAGAAACCACACACUACCACGGGAGUUAAUAAUACAUAAAGCCGGCCGGGGGAGCCUUGGAGAAUUCUUCUUGCAGUAGAAGCAACUAGCAGGCGGAGAGAGCCCCAGACAGGCAGCAAUGCCAAUGCCGCCGCGGCUGCCGCCGCCGCCGCCGCUGUCCGGGAGGGAGGAGGGAGUCUGAGCAGCGUUUUCUUUUUAUUCCUUGGGGAAGGGCUGGGGGAAGUUUCGGAGCUCCGACCCAUGUGUGCCCUUAAACAGCCCAAUAAAAAUUGAACUUUGGUGUCUGGGACUUGAAACAUCCAACCAAGGGGUGGAGAAAGGCAGAGAUACAAAUCUGUUAGUAGAAACUUGGAAGGCACUUGAUGUCUGGCAGAAGCCUUAAUGUUGGCUUGGCCGACCCUGUAGUUGUGCGGGAUGGAGAGGCGGGGAAAGAAAAAGGUGCGUGUGCGUGUACUUGAGUGUUUGAGGUUGAGGAAUAGAAACGGCUACCUAGAGUAUACAGGCUUAAAGAGGGCUUGAGCCAGGGAGGCUGUGAGGUUGUCACUCCUCUUUGCUUAUUAGCAGCCGAACCGUGUCUCACCCCCUCCAAAUCCCUCCCCCCAACUUUCAUUCUUUUAACUUCCCCCAUCCUGCUUCACAUAGAAAAACAGUUAAAAGAUUUGCAAAGCCUGCCAUUCCGAGUGUGUGCAGUGUGUGUCGUCUGUGUGUCUUUCUUGGGCUGGUUUGCUAUAGACCUAACAUAUGAGUCAGAACUAGCCCUGCACGUUGUUAGGACAUUCUCCUAUUGAAAACCACGGACUGUCAAAAUCAGAAAUCGUGAUUCCUCAGCAGCAGCGCCACGCGCCCAACUAGUCAAAGAACCAGAUGCAUUAUGAUAAGUUUACAGUGUGUUCGCCUGUGGCCUGCACCUGGUGGCCCUGGGUACUCCUGCCUUCGGAAAGGCGGGGAGUGGAGAAAACAUGACCAUGACACAGGAGAAGGCACAGAAUUACAAUUAUAUAAUGUUCCAUAUAUGUUUGAAAAAACUGAGAGUAAAGAAACAAGCUUUUUGAAAGGUUUUAGGAAGGGCUGUUGCCUGAUUCUGCAAGACUAGCAGUCACGUGAAACCUCCUUAGAAACCAAAGGAAAUGGGUAGGAUGAAGGGGGUGGAGGGGAUUAUAGAAGGGAAAUGGUGGAGAGGGGGAAAGAGAAAAGGGUAGAUAAAAAAAGGUGGAAACAGUCAAAACAGGUCUAAACCAGUUGCAUUUUUGUAAAGUUAGUUAGACAAGGUUUAGGAAAAAAUUGCUCCCUUCUAAAUAUAAACAUUUUUUUUUUGGAGAGGUUCAUAUUGAAAAGAAAAGCAGAGAAUUAGUGAAAGGCCUGCAGGUGCUGCCUUUUGGGUCUGGUUAGCUCAUGGACUGAUAUUGGAAGGUAUAUGCUAUUUGUUACUGCAGUUUAAUUGUAUGAUAGGAAAAGGAAGAUUAUUUGAAAUAUUGAUUUCGUUUUUUAAAUGGGAUUAUGUGAAGUUUUAAGAUAAAAUACAGAAACAAAUGAGAUGCCUGCAUCAUUAGGGAAGAGACUGAAAUACUGGAGGAUCUCUAGAGAGUAAUAAUACAAAAAGGUAAACCUACUUAAGCUGGUUUUGGGGAGGGUAUGGGGGGAUUUGGUAAAAACAGCAAGAUUAUAAUGUUCAGAACUAAGAAAUAGGUGCUUGUGGGUAUGUAUAUUUAUAUAUAUAUUAUAUUUUUGAUCACUAGUUUGCAUUUUCAGUCUUAUUCCCUCUUAUUGGACAAGGAGAAAUGCAAUUCUAGCUGCUUGGAUGCAGUAAAAAACAUAAAUAAAGUUAUGGUAUGAAAUUCUAUUUUCAAGCUUUGUCAGAGCUAUUAAAGAUAGACUUGGCCUAAAUUUGAAGAAGCGAGACUUAUUCAUGAUUUUACCUGAAUUGCUGCCAAAAAAGGCUUACAAAUCUUUGGUUCUUCACUAAAAAUAGCAAUGCUCUUCAAAUAUAAUUUGUUUACUCUACUUCAAUUAAAAAAAAAAACCACAACUUUGUAGUGUAUUUAAGUGCUUAUGAAAGGAAAGGUUGACUGUACUUUAAAAAAAAUCAAGCUUUUUAUUUUCAGAUCAAUAUGAUGCAUUUUCCAGAUCUAAUGCUAUGUAAAAGAAGCCUUUUUUACAAUAUCAAUAGCAUCUCCAUCAGUGCUCACUAAGGCUAUCUCUUCCUGGCAUGAUAAGGCCUUUUGAUUACUUUCAUUUUCACAAGAAAACAUGAUUAUAACACCUCUCAGGAUAAAUAAACAAGUGAAGGAGAAUAAAAAGACUUCUUUGUACACAGAAAAAUUCUUGAUCAUUUGAAAUUACCAAGGCACUUUAUUAUUAUUUCCAAAUAAAAUGCUUUGGAUUUAGUUCUUUUAGUUUUUAAUAUGAAAAUUUAAUAUUCUGAACUAAGAAUGUAGGUUUUGUCUGAUGAGAAGACUCUAGGUUGUGAUAUUGCAUCUAUUAGGGAAGAAAGGUUAAGCUUGGCAUUUUUACUCUAUGCCUUGUAUGUACCACCUGCCAAAUAUUUUGAAACCACUUUACAAAGUAUCUUCAAACCAUAGUUUUGCAGAAUAAUCAGAGUAAGAAAAGUAAUGUACAAAGGAAAGGGUGGAUGAUGUUGAUUUAGAAUUUAUUUCUUGAAUUAAAAUCCCCAUCCACCUCCACACCUUCCUCCUACACAGAAAGAGACCUGGUAAAAGGGUUCUUAUUCUCAGCAGCAUAAGUCAGAGACCCUCCUCUGAAAUACAAUUUCAGACCUAAGGAUGGCAGUACUGCAAGCUUCUUGUGAAGAUGUUUUUCCCAGACACCUUUUACAGUGUGCUUUCUAACUAUCCUGCAAGUCUUUUGUGCUAUUGCUGUCCAACCUGGAGACUCUAUCAUGAAACUGACCCCUGAGCUGUCAGGAGUCCAUCUUGAGUGCUAACUGUUUCACCCUGUGCAGUCACCAGAUUUUGGUAAUUACUAUAAGUUACCUUGUACCAACCAUCUCCUGUCAGAAUAAACUUUAGGCAAUGAGUCAAUCAAAUUGGGUUUUGAUAUCAAUGAUUUCAAUAUAAUCAGUUACAAAGGGAAAGAAUAGAGCCCCUCCAUUUUGCAUUAUGCUAGGCAAAUGGUUUGACUUGCCCCCUUCUUCCCUUCCCUUCCAUUCUUCCUGGAAGCCACCCCUUCAUCAAUGAGUUUUGAAGAGCACUUUCCUUACAGAUUUAACUUAGGAUUUUUUUCCUCCUUUCUCCUUCCUUCACAUUUCCCAAAGUAGAGAUAUAAAAUGGCAUCCUUGUUGGAUGCCCACUAUCUAGUCAGAGUAGGCAGUAACUAUUUUGAAUUCGGUCCUGGAUCUUUGUGAGCUAGGUACCUGUGCCUCUUUGUACUCACUCUAUCUUUUCAAGCAGGGUAGAAGUUUCAAUGUAAAAUCAUUAAUGGAUGUGGGUAAGUUGUUGAAAGCUUGUGCUGACUGCCUGUUUUUUUGACUUGGCACGACUUCCAUGAAUAUGGAAUAGCCAAGGCAAAAUCCAGCCCAGGGAGGAACAUUCUUUUCCAACCAGUCCGAGUACUAUAAAGAAUUUAAUACAUAUUUUCCCCUCCUUUCUGGGCACAUCACAAUUUAUAAAGCUGUGACAAUGUUUUGAUUCAUAGAGAUGAGCCAGAACUUGGACCAUCCUGUCUUCAAAGUCUCUCUUCUAUACAGGACUCUGUAUUAAAAUAUGACCUCCUAAAAGUCAGAAAUAUAUGUGUAUAAAGUCUACAUUCAUACUUAAAAGUCAUUUUGCUUUUCUGCAUUUAUGUUUUUAGGCAACUAAACUACUAACAACUAACUUAUUGUAUACAGUAGGUGCUUAAGGUAUGCAAUUCUUGUAGUUCAUGAAUUGGAGGAAUGAUCCAGACUGAGAAAGGGCUGGGCAAAAUUUGGCAUGCUUUUGGGUCAAGAAAUUCUACAAUCAACCCCAAAUGACCAAUGCUAUUCCAACAAUGGGCCUGUAUAGCUAGAAAUGUGAAGAGAGCAAUUGAUUUAUAAUAUUUUGAUGCAUGUGUAUAAUGUGUAUAUAGUCAGUCUCCCAUUGUAUUAGCUUACAAAUGUUGUUUUCCCUUGGAGAAUGAGAUAUACCUAGAGCUUGAGAAGCAAAAUACAUCGUAGUAAUUAACUGUGUUACAAAAGUAGCUUGCUUGGAUUAAGUACAUGUUGCUAAUACCAAGUUUUGAUGGUGUAAUUUAUUUGUGGACAUUGUAAAAUGGAGAAAUUCCUCUUUGUUACAAUCAUAUCUGCUCUUUUAAAAAUUAAAUUAAAAAAAUUUAAACAACUAGAUGGGAGUGAAUUUGGAGUCAAAAGACCUAGGGUUGUAUCCUAGCUCUCCCACUUCCUCUGUGUAUUACUUCGCAAGCCAUUUCAUUUCCCUGGGUCUCAGUUUCUUCCUCUCUAAUAAGAGAAGAUUGGAUUAGGUGAUCUCUAAGAUUCCUUUUUAUUAACUCCAAAUAUAUGGUUCUGUGAUUUAUUUUAGGUAAAGUGUCACUCUGUUACCCAAGAAGCUCCAACAGGGCCUUCUUGUGUCUAUUGUAAAAUGUAGAUUUCUUUUUGUACUCAAAGCCCUUCCCAAUCUGGCUGUAGUUUACCAUUCUAGGUUUAUUGCAUUUUAUUUUCCUUCAUGCUCUCUAAGUUCAAACUCAACCAGCUGGCAUGUGGUUCCCAGGAUACAAUAUCCCAUUUCCCAUAUUUCUCAUCUCUGAACCUUUGAAUAAGCUGCCUCCUUGUUGCCACCUCAUAGAAUCCCUAGUUUCUUCCAUCAUCAGCUCAGUGGGAUGGGUUUGAAUCACCCCAGCUUUGUACAUUUAAAAAAUUUACUUAUUUAUAUACCUGUUUCCUACCCAAAACAACUGGUUUCAUUUCCACCCUCUUCCUAUUCCCCCUACCCACCCCUAAGAAUCCUAGAGGAUAGGAACAGAUUAGAUACUUAGGAAAGGAGGGUUUUCUCACUGAGAUUACUUCCUAUCAACACUGAUUGCAUUUUGUGUGUUCAUAGUCAGUUAUAUAUUUUUUACUCCACUUGAAUGUGGCAGGGAUCACAUUUCUGCCUUUAUUUGUACCCCCAGUGUUUAGCACAUAGUAAACACUUAUUAAAUGUUUGUUAAUUGAUUAGGAACAAGAUUAUUUCCACUGAAUUGACUAUUAAAAAUCCUUUUUCUCUUCCACUUGAAUUGACUGAUUAGUUGACUGAACCAAUCAAUUGUUGGACUGAGUUGAUGAUAUAGGACAGCCAAAGGGAGUAGGUUUGGUAGCCCCAUCUGGAUUUAGUCUCAGAAAACAUUCUUUAGUUCCAGGUUUCCCUUGACAAAUAGGUGUGAUUUAAAUGGAGGUGCAAAUUCUCUAUUUAGCCAAAAUAACACGAAUCAUAGGGGAAAUGUCAUUGGUAAAGAUUUGUACAAAUUUGUGUGUGUGUGUGUGUGUGUGUGUGUGUGUGUGUGUGUGAGAUGAAUGAGUGGUUUAACACUGUAGAUUCACAUCCAUCAGGAUGCUUAUAUAAUGCCAGCAUUGAGGAAUAUUAUGGACUAACCAUGAUAUGUUAGGCAUUUACUAUAAGUAGUUAUGUUUCAGGGGAAAUAAUUUGGGCUACGGUAUAUCUAUGUGAGAAUGGGCCACAUGGUAACAGUUUCCACUCUAUUAAAUUACCAGGUAACAUUUGUGUCCAUGAUGAACUUAAUACCUUUUGGUGGUUUCAACAUUAUAUUGUGAUCUUCAGAAAUAUAGUUGUAUGAAGGCAGAAAAAACAUUAAAUGUCAGUAGUUACAGCAAAGCUUUCUGGAGGAAGAGGGCAGAGAGUUCUUAGCUGGUCGCCCGUUCAUGUGGCCCUAGCGGAAAUGUAAAAGUGCAGGGUUUGCAUUGGAAUGAGAAUGGGGUCACCCACCCUUUGUACUCAUCAUCAAGAAAGCAGGACUUUCUUCCAGAGAGACCAUAGGAAAUCAAUGAGCACACUUUGCCAGUGUGGAGAUAAAUGUGUACUGCAGAGGGCAUUAAAUAAAAGGGCAGCAGUAAAAUGAUUUACUACAUAAGGCGGUGUGACUUUUGGGUCACUUCAAAGAAUUCCCAUUUUUGAGAUAAUAACUGUAUUUAAAUAUUUCUUUUCUAUACUAUUAAGAAAUUGUGCAAGGGAAUGCUCUUGGGUGGUAUUCCACAUUGUUGACUUCAGGAAUGCUAUUCAAAUAAAGCAGAUUGUUUCCAAAAGGAGCCAACAUCAAAUUUAAUAUGAUUGAGGUCAGAAUGACUAAUUGACUUAAUAGACUCCAAGUUUUGGGAUUUCUUUGACUUAACUUAUUUGUUUGAAAUUUUCCUGGAAGCAGGAUGGAAACUUGCUGUUAGGAUAGGCUCACCAUGACCAGAAGGUAUCACUGAGGGGUACCAGCACAGGAGAAGCACAUAGGAAAGAAGACCGCUGAUGUAAAGGGAAAAUGGAGAGGGAAGAAGCCUAAUGAAAUGUGGAAAAGCAGGUGUGGGGCUUUAAUGGGCUCUCUUUUUCAGCUUACACUUCUGUUUGCUUUGUGAGCAAAUAUUCCUGUAGAUUUGAAAUAUAGUGCUGCAGAUAAUAGCUUAGGGGCAAAGGAAAAGUCUGGUUUGUAUCUGGAAGAAGGCGAGAGAAUCAUUUAAUCACCUGCCUGUAAGAGUGUUGGAAAUUGUGCCGGUUGUCUAACAACAAAACAAAAACAAGCAAGGGAGGUGGGGUGGGGACUCUAAACAAACCCACAUUUUGCUGUAGUUUAUUAUUUCCAGUAGCAGUUUAGUCCCCAGUGUUAACAAUGAGUGAUUAUGAUUCUAGAGUUUCGUUUACAGCAUAAAUUAGCAUUUUGUUUUCUGUUACAGCUUUUGAAUGAGGAAUUAUAAUGUAUAAUUUGCUGAAAAUAGAUGUUAUCAUCUCUUAGGAUGAGGACAACCACAUAAACUUGAGCAAAUGAUAAAAAUGAAAUCAAUUACAUUCCGAAUGGAAGUAGUUUACAAACCUCCAAAUACAAAGUGGCGGUAGUAGCUGGUUAUUGUAACAAAUAAUUAGGUUUUUUUUUUUAAACAACAUUUAUUGAAUUCCAUUGACAAUUCUGUAAUUGUUCGCAGUUGGCUGUAGCCCUCCUUCUUCCAAAAUGAAAUGUGGCAUAGAAUGACUGCACUUUAUAAAUUGCUGUUUGCCUCAUUAUUCAGUGUAACUUGAACGCCUAUUUGUUUGCAUAUGUAAUCCUUUCAGAGCAAUAUGGAAACACUGUGCAACUAUGGUGUGCUGAAUGGUGUCCCAGUACCAAUCUUGAACGGCUGCUUGACUAAACAACUAUUCAAAGACUGCUGAUCUAUCUACUAUAUUUUUGGAUUCCUUUAAGAAGAGAGAGCAAAGGGAGGGGACCAAAUAUUGUGGGUGCUGAAGGAGGAAACAUUUUCAAUAGUGUAUCAUAUUAUUAAACAGAUAAAGAAUAGAUGGCAGUUCCUCUUCUGGGCCAUUUGCUGAAAACAAUAGUUCAUCUGUGACAUAAUAUCAUAUUUAUUACUUAUGGUUUCAUCUCUUCUGAUGAUGAAGAAAUUCUUGCUAUACUCUUUUUUUAAAAAUGGGAAUUUAACGUGGAAAAUGAAUGAAUUCCAGUUCCAUUUUAAAGUCCUCAGGACAUAAUAAGACUGGUUCUUGACAGGCUCACUAAACCUCUAAAUUUUUAACAUGAAAAAUUAUAAAGUAUAUGCUUAAGUUAAAAGAACUUAGAAAGGAUAAAGAGAAAGGGAAAAGUGGCAAUUCCAAGGUUUUAGGUUCUUUUUUCUUUUUUUGCAAAUGUUCAUGUUAAGUUUAUCAUUCUUGUUUGUUUAGUUCUAAAAGAUUAAUCUAUUUAUUUCUUUAAAGUUAAAAUGCAAAGAAAUAUGUUAAGCAUGAUUUUAUUUUUAGAUACUGAGUUUUAAGAUGAAACAAAUCAGUGAUGCAUUAGAAAACAUACAAAAAUGUGUACAGUGACAGAAAGUCAAGUAGAACAGAUGCCAAAAACCAGAGUGAUUGAUGUAUGCUCUAAAGAACCACAUGAGGGGAAUGGGAAAAGAUCUCUAGAAGCACAAAUGCUGAUGGAGUUUACUGCCUACAUUUCUGUUUUAAUUCUGACAGACAUCAACUCUCAAUUGAACAGGAUAUGUGUUUGUGUGGCAUUUAUCUUUGGGUAGAUAGCAUUUUCAUUAGUGGUCAUCAAAGAUUGUCUCUUUUCCAUACAAAUUUUGUCUCUUUUCUCAACCCUUAUGGACAUUGAGACUUAGAAUUUGUAGAUAUCAAUGGUAAAAUAGCAUCCCCUUCCAUUCUGCUACAUGUUGUUGGCUUGUCUUAGUUGGUGACUUGGAUAACUAGCCCAGAACUAGUAGAGAAUAUUAUUUAUUUGGAUUUCUGAAAGAAGGCAGGAAAAUAGUCAAAAGGUGAUUUUGUGUUGAGGAGGAGAAUAUUUUUAGUAAUAAUUGUCAUUCAAUUAAAUGAUCUAGUGUUGCAUCCCUGGUAAUCAGGAGACUUAGGUUCUCUAUACAGAGCUGUGAUGAGCAAUUUUGGUUCUUGGAACAAAUAAUAGUAAGCCUGAGACCAACUAUUCAAAAUAUCUCCUGAGCCUUCAAAUAACUUUAUAAGUAUGAAAAUAAUCUAAGAAUGAAUUAACACAAAUUUACUAGAAUGAAAUGGGAGAACUUAUUUCUACUGCUGAAGUGUGUAUGUCUAAUUUUUAUACUCAAACUUCAGUACCCUGACCUAAAAUCUCAGGCACACCACCUUGGUUACAGCCUUCAUUUUACUUAUAACUCUGCCAUUAACCAGUUGUGCAAUAUGGAAACAGUCACUUAACCACUUAAAUAUGUUAGGCCCCACUUUCUUCAUCUUUAAAAUGAGAUAGUUUGAUUCAAUGAUCUCUCAGGUUUCUUCCAACUCUAAAAGUUUGCUUUUUCAUUUUGCAGCAGAGGUCAAGCUAAUGGAAAUGAUAGUGUUCUUAUGGAUAAAAUAGUAACUAUACAUUCCAUCCAGUCCUUGAUACAAUUCAAUUCUGUAGUCCCUUAAACCCAUGCCUUCAGGAAGAAAAAAAAAGAUCUUUUAAAGUAAGAUCUGUUUUUAACAUCUAAAGAAAUUCUUAAUUAUCAUAUAAAAAGUCACAUUUAUAAUUUUAUUUUACUUCAAUAAAUUAUUAGAUUUUUUCAUGAUUAAAAUAAGCUAUCAAAGCUAGAGAGUGAGAAUAACACAUGGAGUCUAGAAACAUAGGCUGAAUACAUAUGCUGCAGUGCUAAUGGGAUUCUUUAUAUUUUUCUUUAUGUAAUGUGAGGGUUGAAAAAGGUUACAUAGCCUUGAUGACAGAGUCCCAAAAUUGUAAAGGAACAUGGAAUAAUCUUUACAUAUUUAUCAACGGACUUUUAUUUUAGGAAGUAGGACACCAUUGCUAAUUGAUUUUUUGACCCUGAUACCAACAGUCACAUUAGAAAUAAUUUACAAAGGAAUAUUUUUUUCUUUCUAAAGCUGAAUUCUAAAUAAUCAAUUGCUAAAGGAAAAAUGGGAAGAUUAAUGGUAUUGAAUGUUUUCAUGAAUUUGCAAUCACAUUGGUGAAGCUAAUAUUUGCUUAUUUCUCAAAACCAUUGUUGGCAACCAGUAUUUAGUUAUAAUAUCAUGAUGAUAGGAUGGAUGUGAUUGCUUACAAUGAAAUUACUUAAAAAAACUACUUAGGACUGCUGGUACUGAGCUAACAUCAACUACUUAGUAAUUAUCAGUACUGAACUGAUUUCUUCUGUUGGGCAUGUGGUAUUUAGCUAAAGAAUCUUGUCAUAUUUGAUAUAACUUUGAUUGACAUGCUCUGGAAAAGACAGAAUCAGAAUUGGGAAGAAUCUCUGAGAUCAUCUAGUCAAACCCAUACCUCCCCAGGAAUCUCUUCUACAUUAUUUCAAAAAAGUAGUCAUCUAAUCACUAUUGAGGAACUUGAGUCAAGAAGAACCUAUUCUGCUUUGGGAUAGCAUAAAUUGUUUAAGAAUGUUUUCCUUCUAUCAAGUAGAAAUUUCUGUCCCUUCAACUUCUACCCAUGGCACCUAGUUCUGUUCUCUGGGGUCAAGCAGAAUGAUUUUAAUCUCUUUUCAACAUGGAGUUCAACAGGAAGUACCUUCAGGUUCUCAAAAGGACCUAUGGUGUUCUUUCAACUGUUUCUCUUUUUCUAGCUCAACAGCCCAGAACCUUCAUCUCAUCCUAGCAUUGCAUGAUCCCUUCACCAUGUUGAACAUUCUCCUCUGGACACUCACCAGGCUCUUUAUGUGGUUCACAAAAUAUAGUGCCCCAAACUUAAUGCAAUUAUAAUUCACAUGGACUGACCUUGACAGAUCAUAUAGAGCAAGAUCACCUCCAUCAGUCUGUAAAUUAGAGUAAUAUUGCAAUCAUCUUAAAAGUUGCAUCUCAUGGUUGACUCAGACUGAGCUAACAGUCCACCGAGGUCCUCAUAUUGUUGUCUAGCCACAUGUUUCCCAUCUUCUAUUUGUGUUUUUUAACCCAAGUAUGCAACUUGAGUUAUCUAAUAACUUGAGGUAUAUAUUAAAUUUCAUUUUAUUAGAUUCUUCCCAUCAUUCUUGCCUGUUGAGAGCAUUGUGUUUCUUGACAGACUUAUGGUAGGAGGUGAAAGAAAGGUAAAAAGGAUAAUGAAAGAUGAGAAGAAGUUAAAGAAGAAUCAUUCAGUACACUGGUUUAUCUUAUGUUCAAUUUCAUGUAUCCUUUUUCUUCUUGCUAGUUUUUGAACUUUUCAUUUCACUCAUCUCUCUUUCCAACAGUAUGUAUUAGAAUUAUAUGAUUUGGGGUUAGGGAACAAUACAAAAAAAGUGGUUUUCUUUUUAUUUUUACUGCUCUCCCUCUUCUAGAUCACUACAUAUUGUAUUUUAGAGUUCAAUGAAAAGUAUAUGCUUCAACGUAAUUUUCCAAGAUAUUAAGCUUUUCAAUUUUUGUUGUUCCAUCAUUUUAGUCACAUCCGACUCUUCGUGACUCUGUGGGUUUUUUGCUGAAAACGGUAAGGUGGUGGAUGCUUCAUUCACUAUCUCCUUUGUCAUUUGAAAACUUGGAAAUAAAUCCAUUCCUAUUAUGAUCAUACUAGAGAAUGGUGAUCUUUUUUCAUUAUUAUUAUUGUUGAGUUGGGGCUAAUCUGGAUAAAUGAAGUAAAAAAAGUAAUGAAUGAAAUUCUCUGGAGGCUGGAUAUAUUAACAUUUAAAAUUAGUUUAAUAAGAGAUUGUUCAAGGAAAUCUAACUAGCCAGUGGAUUCCCUCCACAGUCUGAACAGAUGCAAAGUAACAUGAGUGGGCCAAAAAGUGGAGCCCAAGAGAGAGAAAUAAAUGUGAAGCAGCUAGGCAAGGUGAGAAAGACACCUCAACUUCCUAGGCACAGCAAUAUAUGUCCCCUGUGAUGUCAUCAUUUAGUCCCUUCCCAGAGCACCUCUGAUUGGAAAACAGCUAAUUCAGGAAGUGCCCUCAGAGACCUCCACUCUUCCCUUACCACUUCAUCAUAGGAAGAGAUGGAUCUCAGGAGGAUGCCCACAAGUCCUUUCCUCCUCCUCACCACCACAUAACUGGACCAGGGUGGCAGCUAGAACUGACUGACUUGAUUACCUAAGAGAGUUCUUAUUUACAGAUAAAUAAGGAGCAGGUCUCUACCCUGCCUAUAAUAAAAGCCAGCCUAGUGAGAUAUCCUUAACCCUGUAAUCUUUAACAAAGACAAAAGAAGGAACCAACCUGGUUAGCCUGGGGGAGAAACUAAGCUUUAAAAUCAAAGUUUUUCAGGGGACCUAAAAAAAUUCAUAAAACUAUCCCAAUUCAAUAUUAAUUUUCCACAGGAAAUAAAAUUAUGUCCAAAGAAUUUCAGUGAUUUAUUACAGGAGGUUCUAUACUCCUUGAAAGCAUGGAACCUUGCAAAUAGUAACGAGCAAGUCUUUUUUUGGAAACGGACAGAAAGAAAAUCUAGUUUUGUUCAUUUAUUACUCACCCUAAUGUGAAUUGUUGCUGCCUAUUUGCUAGUAGCUGUUUGCAAGUCAACAAUAAAUAUGCAUUUCUGAAACUAGCCCAAAGCAAGAACAAUGGCAAUACAGGAUUAUCCUCUGUUAUACAUUAGGAGACUGUAAUCUUUCAAAUGAUCAAAUUGUCAUGUCUUAACAGAGUCAAGCAAAACGUCUUCCUCAGAAAAUAUUUUGAAAUUUCAAUAACUCUGUGACCUCACUGAUAGUGGGGCUUCUGCCAUUGGGUGAAAUUGCCUCAUUGUCAUAUGGGAUUUCUGUCCAGAUCUUUUAAUAAAACCUUGAUAGAAGGUCUAUCCAGCGUGAACAUUUUCUUCUUCGUCUUUUCGUAUUUUAUGCCUGAUGAUCAGGCUAUUGAUCUAUUGCCCCAGUAAAAUUAGUGAAUGUUAAACAUCUUCUACCAAAAAUGAAAUCAAAUUGACAACUGGAAAGAUUUGCCCUAAAUACAGUAAUUUUGAGAUCAUAAGAUUUAUUAUGUAUAUCUUUUUUUUUUUUGUGCUUCUGUGAUCAUACAUAGGUAGUAGUCUUUUGCCUGACUGUGAACAUUGAGAUGAAGAUUUUCUUUCUGUCCUUUCAUGACACAGGAUAUCUAGAAUAUUGGAGAGUGUGGAUGGCCAAUGAAGUGCAUGCAUGAAUUCAAAUGCAAGUCUGAAAUUCAUAGAUUAUUUUCAGACACUUAAAGACAUUAUCAUUUAAUGACAAGUAUUAUUGACUUUAGGGAAAGGAGAAGAGCUGAGUUAAACAAACAAUCGACUUGACAUUGGCUGUGGAGGCAGCUAUUUUAUCAUUGAUUAUUUCAUAAUCAUUGCUAAUAGGUCUUCCCUGAUGUGGAUGUUAGCCAACAUUUGGUCUUUAGCUACAAUAGAGAAGGAAAGAAUUCAUAGUUUUUAGAAACCGGGGCAGCAAACUGCCCUCUUUCCCAUUUUUGGAAUGCACUUCCUUCUCUUCUAAGCUUCAUAGAAUCCCUAGAUUUCUUGAAAGUAUAGCUCAGGUGCCAUCUUUUCAUAAGACCAUUAACAUUUCUCAUAGUUAUUGAUAUAGUCUCCCUCUUGAAACUGCUGUCUACCAACUUAGUAUAUUGUUUUGUAUUUGCUUAUUUAUGUAUAUGUUAUAUCCCCCAAGGAGAAGAGAAGGUCUUUGAGGGUUGUGACUUAAUUUUUAUUUUUGUAUCCCAGGCCUUGGAUAGUACAGAGUAUUCUCCAAAGAAAGGAAAGAGGAAAGAAAGUACUUAGUAGGUGUUAAAAAAUGUUUCUUGAAUUGAAUUUGAUCGAUUCUAGUUAACUUGCUAGACAUAACACACAUAUAGACCCUGUAUACAUUUGUAUGUAGCUCAAGGUUUUAAAAUGUAGGCUGGGAAGGGGUAUUAAAAUGUUUUAAAAGCCAACAAAAAUCAAAGAACUAUCUGAUUAGGAACCAAAGCUGAAGGGCUGAUUAUCUCAGCUUAGUUAUCUUCCUUUAAUAAUACUCUUAGAUCUAUUUGUGAUACUAAUCAAACUCCCUGUAGUUUCUUCUCUUUGAGCAAGCUAGGAGAAGCAUAAAAAGAAAUAAUUGUUUUCUGAGACAGUCUUUGUUUCCUGAGACAGUCUUUCAUAAAAGAAGUGACUUUAGUAGAUGGUCAUUUGAGAGAUGCCAAUAUGCAUGAAGCCAACUUUCCAUUGAACCUUGAAAAUACUUAAGGGUGAGGAUUUGGGGAGUUGCUAUUUCUUCUUCAAACUGUCAAAUGUACAGUUAAUGAAAUAAUAUCUUCAAAGACAUCUGCAGGCAUCCAGCCCAGAUAUAAUGUGUGAUGUCUGAAACUUAGGGAGAAGAAAGAGGUUACUUAUAAUAACAAAUAAAACACAGUGUUUAUUAAUGCUCUCAUAAAACUUUAAUGAGAGGCAACAAAAUAUAGUGGAUAACAGGCCAGUCUGGGAGUCAAAUCCAGCCUUGGCCACACAUUAGCCAAGUGAGUAAGUCACUUAACUUCUCAGUGAACCAAUGAGCUGACUAUGACUAUAAGUUAGAUAUCAGUGAGUGAUCUGCAUUCCUGGUGGGAAGUUUCAAUAAUAGGAAUUCUUUAUGCAAUCUAGGAGCCUUCUGCAAUAGUCUCCCCAGUCCUCCAAAUAAAACAAAAUGAAACCAAAACCCAGCACAAAAGUUUUUAACUGAAGAUAACUAAAAUUCCAGGUACCUCUUUGCUGGAAGUCAAUCAUCAAAUAAACUUUAAGAAUCUAUUACUGUACUGUCUGUUAGGCACUGUGCUAAGUACUAUGGAUACAAAAGAGAAAAAAGACAAUCCCCUGCCUUAAGAGAGUUUAUAAUUGGAUGAAGCACUUUCAGGGAAGAAAAUGAUCAAAAUAAGAUACUAUAAAUUACUUAUGUUCUUUUCCUGGGAGAAUACUAAAUAUUUUGUAAGGGUUCCAUAUUUUAUAGUUUUAGAUUUUCAGAAUAGAAUUUUAUAAGUUUUUAUAAAAUUGGAUUUUUGAGAUGAGGAAGAAGAUAUGGAACAUUCAAGAAGAUCAGUCAAAAGGCAAUUUAUUAAGGACCCACUUUAUGCCAUGCCGUGUGUUAAGUGCAUGGGAUAAAAAGAAAAAGGUAAAAGAUAGGCUCUGCCUUCAAGAGUUCACAGUCUAAUGGAAGGUGUUGGUAGUGAGGCUGACCAGGUCUUUCAAUGACUAGUUUUUUCAGUCCACAUUCUAGAAUUUGGACUUAAUUUAUCCACCUUUCUGUUUUUGUCUUCUUGGAGGUAAUUAAUGGAAAAGCAGAGUAGGAGUCUGACUAAAUAUGUCUCCUCAAUCAUCUGGAAAUCUUUUAAAAACUUUUCUUAAAUAUGCAGAACAUACCCAUUUGAAGCAAAUAUUUUGGAGGGAAAUUUUGUAGGACUCAGCUAGUUCAAUUCUGUGUUUAAAAGCUGCACACCCCUCCCCAACUGUUCAUUCUUUCCCAGAAUGUUUUUCAUUUCAUUCAGAAUUGGAUUUCAUUUUUUGACUGGCAAAGAGUAAUGGGAAAAAAAUCCAUUUAUUUUUAGAGAUUAAAAACAUGAAGGACAAGAGAAAAUUAGAAGGCAUACUUUUAAAUAAUAUAUUUACUUAGAAAAUGUAGUUCAUUAAUAGAAGAGGAGUAAUAUUCAGUCUUAAUAUUGACCAACAAUUUAAUGCAAAUUACUUAUAUAUUUAAUAUAGAAUAGUAUUUUAAAACCUCUUGCUGACUGUUUUGCCCUUUGAGGGGAUGCUGUGCACUAGUGGAAAGGAUGAGUACAGAUUGUGGAUUUAGGAGUCUUUGAGGGAGUCUUAGCCCUGGUAUUCUUUUAGCCUGGGUGAAUUGUAUUACCCCUUUGAGCCUCAUUUUUCUCAGUUGUAAAAUGGGUGUAAAUGUGAAACAGUAUUAUUUUCUGGUAAGCAGAGGAGUGUUUUGGUAAUGGUUGUUAUUUUGGUUUGAUAGGGCCUGGAUUUAUGAUUCCUUUGGUGUCCAGAAUGUCCUGGGUGAGGAAACUGGCUCUGGUAAUGAAGGUCAGCACUUUCUCUGAAACUUCAUAUGUUUGAGAGUUGGCUACAACACCCAUGGGUUAAAUGUCAUGCAACCAUUUUGUGUUGAAGAUAGCACUCAAGAAUCUUCCUGGGGCACCAACUACUACUGUGGUAAAAGAGAUAGUAGCCUCAGAUCAGAAUUGCCUGAAAGAACUCCAGAACUCUGCCACAAAUUAGAGAUGAGAGAUGAUGUCAGCAGAUUCCUCAGGCUAUACAGAACUCUUUUACUUUAGAUUUGUGUGAACUUCUGAGGAUUUAGUUAAGAGGAAUGGCAGUAAUCACAAUGGAGUGAAUUAAAGACCUUAUAUUUAGAUUUCUAGCAAAAGAUUUCCAGAUAUCUACAAAUUUCUUUGGACAAAUAGUGGCCACUUUUGGUAGGUUGGAGAGAAGAUUCUUGUUUACAGAUGGAUUUGAUUACAUGACUUCUGUGGUCCUUCCAGCCCUGAUUAUUUGCUAGGAUCUGAUUCCAAGCUUUCUAGAGCUCCACUGUUCCAUUUUGUUGACUCUGAGCAAAGCAUAUAGGAUAUACAAGCUCACUAGCAUUGAAAAAAGUGUUCUUUCCCUGAAUGAGUUUAAGAAUACCCUAAAAAAACACAGUAUAAAAUGUAAGUGUAGGAAGCAGAUAAAUGUCUAUGUAAAUCACAAAUUUUAGAGCUGGAAGAUCAAUUAGAGAUCAGUUAGUCUAAUUUAUCCUUACCAAAAAGGACACUGAGGCCCAGAGAAGAAAGUAACUUCCCCAACAUUCCAUGAGGCUAGGAUUCUUCAGAACUUUGUGGUAUUCUAUACAUCAAAGCCAUACAGCAUCCUUGAGACACUUAUGGUUAAAAAAGGUAAAUAUGGUUCUUUGUUUGGGGGUGGAAAGUACCACGAGGUUUUUAAAAUGCAGACUUGGCUCAUCUAUUUCUCCUUAUAAAUACUGGUCCCAAGUCAUUGUCUUAUCUCUGUAGUAUCUGUAUAAAAUAGACAGUCACACAGGAAUAUACACAUGUGCAUACAUAUAUGUAUGUAUGUGAAGAUAUAUGUGUAUACCUGCAUGUGUAUGUACACAGACCAAUGGAUUAGUUAUGUGUUCUAGAUGGGCAGCAGCCAUUCUUCUCCUUCACUUGCUUGCUGUUGGCUCUUUUUUCCUCUUCAAUUAUUAAAAGUAGUGACAUGAACGUUGAUAUGUAGCAUCAUCUUUGACUACUCAGAGUCCUGUUUUGAAUAUACUUCUUGGUUCUCAACUACGUUCUCCAUAGUUUAGGUUACUAAAUAAAGGGACCUCUAGAGAACUGAGGUGCUACUGUACCUGUUCAUUUUUAAGCUUGGUCUCUUCAUUUAACUGUAAUUCGGUUUGUAACAAGAUAGCCCCAUCUCUUGUCUUUGUUCCAGCAAGUGGCUUGUGAAUAAUGAGAAACAAUGUGGAGUAAUGGAUAAAAGGCCACUCUUAGGAUCAGGAGGAUGGGAAUUCAAAUGCUGUCCUCUGAUGCAGACUAUCUGGGGCUAUACUACUUAAACUUCUUACUGUUUUCGCCACCCUCUUGGACUGUAAGUUAGAAAUAUGUUGUUCUCUAUUGAGAGAGUUUCCAUAUCAGGAAUUCCUUAUACCAGUGAAUUCACAUUAUUCUUUCAGACAGGGUACCCUUCUGUCCUGUCCUCUUUAAAAUAGUGGACAAGGGGCCAGCUGGGGUGGCUCAAUGGAUUGAGAACCAGGCUCAGAGAUGUCCUGGGUUCAAAUCUGGCCUCAGACAUUCCUAGCUGUAUAACCCUGGGCAAGUCACAAGUAUUGAUUCUAAGCUGGAAGGUAAGAGCUUAAAAAAAUAAAUAAAAUAAAACAAUGGAUAGCACAUUGGGCUAAUCAUACUUAGGUGGAUGACAGAAGGAUUUUUUAUAGAACUCAACCAACUGGGAACCCUCAAUUCCAACUUUUGUCAUUCCAACCCCAUCAACACCAGAAAUGUUCUUUGCUGGCUUUCCAUGGGAGUCUUUUCAUUCCCUCCCAUGAACCUAGCUGGCACUUUAGGGUUUGCUUUCAUGGUAGGUACAUAUGUAAUUUUGUCUCACCCUUCAGACAGUGCUUUAAAAUUCAUUUUAUGCCUGAGACUUUUUUGAGAUUUUUGGAUGGGUUAAACUCUAGGGCCGUAAAGCGUUUAUAAUCUUAAAGAAUAAAAUCUAAUGCAGAGAAUUUUAAUAGAGGGCAUAAGAAAUAAGUAACUCUUUUCAAUUUGGUUGGGCCAUCAGGGCACACACACUAGAUUAGUUAAGAACUUUGCAUCAACACUAGCCCAUUGAGGCAAACUAAUGAAACACAUUAGAAAAAUGAUCAAUUGGGAGAAAGAGACUUGUAUAGGUGUGAAAUAUAGAGGGAAAUCAGUUUAGAAUCUUAUUUUAUUUCCAUACUUAUAAGUGCUACUGAGAAUCAAGUUAUGGGAUCUAGGUUAUUUGAAUUAUUACUUCAAUUCCUUUAACCCCCAUCCACCCCUCCAUUCCCCCCAACCAUCUUUUUUUUAAAAUGUUGCUUUGCUCUAGGGCAGCUAGAUGACAUAGUGGAGAGAGUGCCUGCCCUGGAAUCAGGAAGUGUCAACAGGUAGAACUAGGAAGAAUACAUGGAAGUUACAGAGAGAUAGAUAUAGGUUUGAUUAAACUUAGGGGCUACUAGUUGGUACAGUGGAUAGAGCGCCUGACCUGGAGUCAGUAAGACUUAUUUUCCUGUAUUCAAAUCUGGCCUCAGACACUUACUAAGCUGUGUGACCCUGGACAAUUCACUUAACCCUGUUUAGCUCAGUUUCCUCAUUUGUAAAAUGAGCUGGAGAAGGAAAUAGCAACCCAUUCCAGUAUCUCUGACAAGAAAACCCCAAAUGGGAUCAUGAAGAGUUGGAUGCAACUGACUGAACAACAAAAGCUUUGCUUUAAGAGGCUAUUUUAAUUACAUUACUUAAUUAUAAGAGAUUUAUUUUGCUUUUACUGGCUGACUAUUUAAAGGCUAUUAUUUUCAGACUAAAAUUCAAACAAUUUUAGACACAAUUCCUAUUCCCUUUUAAAGUCAUGAAUACUGUUUUCCUAGGAUUCUUCAUCAGAACCCCAGAUCAGUAUGUUAGUGGUGUCUCAUGUAUACAGGUGGGUAUAAAAGUACCUCAGAGGUAUCUUUUCAGUUCAAUUAGGUUGGUCCCAUUGUGGAAACCUCUUCUUUCAAACUCCAAGUACUUAUUUACUGACUCAUAGAACCUCAGCUUUAGAAAGAACCUUGGAGAAAAUCCAGUCCAAUCUGUAUCUGAAGAGGAAUCUCCUUUAGCACAUAGCUGGUGAGUAGAUGCAGAAUUUUUGCUUGAAGACCUCAUGAAGAGGAAGUAUCUUCCCUCUUGGGGCAGGCCAUUUUACUUUUAGAGAUUUCCUCUAUCAUUAAGCCUAAAGUUGCCUCUUUAUGACUUCUGCCCACUGUUCCUGGCUUUGCCUUUGGUCAAGACAAUAAACAUAUUAUUUCUUCUAUGUGACAGUUAUUAAAAUAAUUUUCCUUUUAAAGCUUCUCCUCUCCAGGAUAAGCCACCUCUGUGCACCUAGUUCCUUUGUGUGCUCUUCCUUUGGCAAGAAUUUUUAGGGCUUCUCCCAUCAUGGUUGUCUUCUUGGAAAUGCCUCUAAUUUUUCAAUGUCUUCCCUAAAAUGUGGUACCUGAAAUUAAGCACAGCACUUUUCAGGUAUGGUCUUGUUGGAAGUGAUUUGUAGCUAAUUCCUAGCCCUGGAUACCUGACUUCUCUUAAUAAUCCAUUCUAAAAUUAUACUGUUAUUGCUUUUUUUAAAAUUUGCUGUAGAACACUCUUGAUAUUGAGCUUGCAAAGCCACAAAAGCCAUCAUAUCUUCUUUAAAUGAAUUGCCUUCUAGUCAUGAUUCCUUCCAUAUUAUACUUUUUUUUAAAAGCCUUUACCUUCUUGGAGUUUAUGCCAAGUAUUGGCUCCAAGACAAAAGAGUGGUAAGGGCUAGGCAGCUGGGAUUUAGUGAUUUGCCCAGGGGCACAUAGCUAGGAAGUAUCUGAGGUCAAAUUUGAACCCAGAACCUUCUAUAUCCACCAUCUACCUCCAUAUUAUACUUUUGAAUUGGUUUUCUGAAGCUAAGAACAUGUGAACACAAAAUGAAAACUCUUUAAAGGUAGGGAUUUUUUCUUUAUUGUCCUUGCAUCCCUAGCAUCACACAAUGCUUGACAUGUAGUAGGAGCUUAAUAUCUGAUCUUAUUCCUCUUAAAUUUUACCCCAUGGUCCUUCCUUGUUAAAAUCUCUUUGAAUCUCAUCUCUGGUCAUCCAGUAUGUUGCUGUCCUUCUUGGAUUUGUAUCAUUUGUGGGAGGUCAUCUAUACUUCAUUCUAGUUAUUGAUCAAAAGGUCAGAACUGCCCAAGGCUCAACAAAGAUUCUGGAGUCAUUCCAUUAAAGACCAGUCCCUUAUCAAGCUGAUGUCAAAUUAUUAAUGAUUUCUCUUUGGGCUUGGCCAUUCAUUUGGUUUGAGGUCAAUUUAAUUAUAUUAGCAACUGUCUAUUCACCUUUAAACAAAUCUUUACCCUUUUUUUCUUGGUAUUGAUACUAAGUAUACUAAGUAAGAAACAUGAUAAGAACUAGGAAUUUGGGGUUAAAUGACUUGCCCAAGGUCACAGAGCUAGGAAGUAUUUGAGGCCAGAUUUGAACUCCUCCCAACUUCAUACCUAGUACUCCAUCCUCUGAGUAAUCUCACUGUCCCUCUUCAUCUUUUUUUGCAAUAAUAGCAUGAGAAUUCUUUCAAAUGUUUUGUUGAACUCUAGAGGCACCUUAUUACCACAGCAUUUUAUAGGUCGACAAGUUUAGUAGUCCUUUCAUGAAAGGUAAAGUGAGCCUCAGCUACUAGGUAAGUAGAAUUUAAACAUUUGAAGAGGAAUACUGUGAGAUGUGUUUGGAAAUUGAAUAGGGACCAAUUUUGGGGUGUCAGAUUGCUGAACAGAGGACUUUGAAUAUUACUAAAGAGGCAAAGAAAUUAUCUUUCUGAAAAGUUUUUUUCCCAAGAAACCUUUAUUUUUUCUCCCUUUCAACUCUUAUUCUUCCAACUCUUUCACCCUCCUACAUAAAAAAGAAGAAAAAUAGUGUCCUUGUAACAAAUAUACCUAGCAAGCAAAAAAAUUCCCAUAUUGAUCUAUACCCAAAAUAUAUGCCUCAUUGAGUAUAUUGGACCAACACUUCUGUCAGGAGAUUGGCAGCAUUCUUCAGCAUAGGUUCUCUGGGAACAUGAUUGAAUAUUGCAUUGAACAGUCUUUCAAAAUUGUUCAUUUUUGCAAUGUCAGUGCUAUACAAUAAAUUUUUGUCUUCUGUUCACUUUACUUUGCAUCAAUUCAUUCAAAUUUUCUUAGGAUUCUUUGAAACUAUCCUUUCUUAUAGUAUUCUGUUAUAUUCAUAUCCUGUAAUUUGUUUAUCUUUUCCCUAAUUGGCAGACACCCUGAAAGGGCAACUAAUAAAGAUUUGGAGGAAGAGAGUAACAUGAUUUGAACUGUGCUUUAGGAAAAUUAAUAUGACAGUGGCAUAUAGGAGAGCCUGGAGGCUUGCAAGACUGGAUGAACAAAGAGGUCUCUUAAUAACUUUUGAAGGAAGUAAGAAACUAGUUAAGAAGCUAUUUAAAUAAUUUAGGUAAUAGGUAAUGAGGUCUUGAACUAGAGUAGUGGCUAAGGGAAUGGAACAGAUGUGAGAGAUAUAGCAGAAGUAAAAUAACUAGGACUUGGUAACUGAUGGGAUAUAGAGGUGAGACAGCGGAGUCAAAGGAGGCACUGAGGUUUUGAGCAUGUGUCAUUGGGAAAAUUGUGGUGCCAUGAAUAGAAAGGUGGAUCAACAAGAGGACAGAUGAUGGAUUUGGUUUUGAAUGAUGGGGAGAGAAUUUUGUACUCUCAAUUACCUGAAAAACUGUAAGGUUUCUCAAUAGAAUAUAAGAUGUUCUUUUUCCUUUCUCUUUUAACUCUUACCUUCUAUCUUAGAAUUGAUACUAAGUAUUGAUUCUAAGGCAGAAGGAUGGUAAGGGCUAGGCAGUUGGAGUUAAGUGACUUGCUCAGGGUCACUUAACUACAAAGUGACUAAAUCCAGAUUGGAACCCAAAUCUUCCUGACACCAGGCCUGAUCCUCUAUCCACUGAGUUACCUAGCUGCCUUGUAACAUAUUCUUUUAAUUCAGUUGUAAUGAGUUCUAGAGGGAUGUAAAAUGUUAUAACCUACCUAGGAACUCCCCAGGGCCAAUUAAGCCCCAAACCCUUUGAUUCUGAAACAAAGUUUAUUUUAACAAAAGGGAUAAAGGGAACUGGUAGAUAUGACCCUGACACUCUUUAUCCAGCUCCUAAGUCCCUUGCUUAAGGCGAGCCUUCUGUUCUUUGGGCCCUACCUAUACCUCCUUAUGCUAUCUAAAACCCUUUCCCAAGCUAUCUGACUGACUCUAAUCUUCCCACCAGUAAUUAAUAAAUAAAGAAAGGGAAAACCCCCUUGGUUUUGGCUGCUGUAAAAAGUAACCAAAGUUAUAGAUGAAAAGCUUUGGAUUACCUUAGCCAAUAGGAAUUCUGAUAGAUGGACCACUGGCAAAUGAAGACUGGACUCAGGGAAAGUAGUUUCCUCCAAAUAAACCCUCUACUUGGAUGCCAAAGAUUUCUCCAUGAAAUCCCAACUUUCCAGGGAGAAUCUCUUAGAGCAAAACUCCUCCUUCAGCUUGAAAUUGUAGGCAGAGAGACAAAACCCAUUCUCAGCUCAGAUGAAAUCCAAGAAGAAAGUGAAGUUCAGUUAUUUUCAGUUUUAGACUACCACAGUUCCUUCCUACCCAGAAUCCUUUGCGAGGGCUUAUCUCAAAAUUCCUUUCUUUCCACUAGAAAACCAGUCUUAUCCCUAAUUUAUAUUCUGACACAAAUCACUGAGCAUUUAUUUUUUUUUAAACCUUUACUUUCCAUCUUAGAAUCAAUACCAUGUAUUUAUUUCAAGGCAGAAGAAUGGUAAGGGCGAGACUAUGGGGACAUGACUUACCUAGAAUCACACAGAUAGAAAGUGUCUGAGGCUAGAUUUGAAUCCAGGACCUCCCUUCUAUAGGUCUGGCUCUCAAUCACUGAGCUACCUAGCUGCCAUCUCACUGAGUAUUUAUACUAUUAGGGACACAGAGUCAAAAAUGAAAUAAUUCUUAUCUUCAAGGGGAUUACAUUCUUCAGGGAGUGGGAAGAGGGAAAUAGAAAGAUUAAAAACUAUUAUACAGAUAAAAGUAAAUACAAAAUAUGUGCAAGUAAUGCAAAGUAAUCUUGGGAUUGGGAAUAGGGAGAGUACCUCACACUUGGGUGGAUCAGGAAGGAGAUAGACAGAUAAAUGGCAAAAAGAUAAUGACCCAGGAUAUUAGGGGGCAAGCUUAUCCUAGGGAACUCCAGUGUGACAUUAGUAGUGAGAGGGGAAUAGAACAAUCUAGUAAGGAGCCACAAGGUAGAGAAGUAAUUUUUUUCAUGUUGCAAAAGCCUAUAAGGAUAACCAAUCUAGAACUCAUUUAGGAACAUGAUCUUAGACAGUGUAUAAAAUUAUCAUAAUCCUGAAGGGACAUGGUGAGUCUGAGAGAGAGAAUUUUUACAAAGGGAACAUUGUUGAAAAGUCAUUCAGUUCAUCUUUGAAGCCCUUAGAGUAGAAAUCAGGAAAAUUAAAACUCUUAGGUCAUAAAACCAAAACCAGAGUGAAGUACUGGGCUAAUCCAUUGCUCAGGAAAGGCUUUACCCUUACAACUGGAAAUAUAGGCUUGGGGUAACUGUAAAGCAGGACGUUUCAUCGCGUCUCAGCCACAGUGGUGCCAGAGAUGGAGUUUAACAUACCAGUGCUAACAUAUUUUGUAACUUGCGUAAUUAAUUCCACACCUGUACAGCCCUGUAUCCAGCUUUAUAAAACAUGCCUUCCCCAUAAAAAUAAAUGUAUGUGGCAAAUAGCCCUUUUGUUUGCCAAGAAACAGAUUACCAUCAGGAAGGCUGAGUUAUCACCUGCUGUCAACAAAUGGAUUGCCCAAGUUAAGGUCAUUAUAUUUCCUCUCAUUACCUUAUAUAUUAAGGUCAUUAUCUUUGAAAGUGGGACUGAAAUAGAUAAUUCUCAAUUUUCCUGGAUUCCAUAUUAGACCUUCUUGAACUUCAUUGCAUGCUUGUUAGAAUAUGAAUUAAAAGUAUUCAUACACCUCUCCUUUUAGAGAAAUUGCCUUCAUUUAAAUGAGGGCUUUCUUUCAUUCUUAAAAGUAUUGGAUAAACCCAGUGUCCCAUGAACCUUUUAACACUGUCACCCAUUGACAUUUUUCUCUUUGGAUUCUUAUAAGCAUGGAACACCAUAAAAGCUCUUAGAGUGAAACAGUAACAGAUAAAGGUAGAUGGACAAUCAUCAGGUAUAUUUCUUUAGGCUUCUUUUCUGUUUGAGGAUUGUUGUUUUUCCCCCCUGAUCUUUAAGUCUAGUUUCAAUUAACUUCGAUUCCCUUUUUUUCAUUAAACUUUUUGAAGACUUCUCAGUUCUACUUAAAUAAAACAUGACUUAGGAUAGAGUGAAUAUAAACAUCUUUGCAUAACUGAUAUAUGUUGAAAAAUGCAUGACCACUUAAAUGUCACAACUCUGAAAAACAUUUUUUGUUCACCAUAGAACUAUUUAAUUUUAAAAACAAGUUCUACCUUCCUUUCCAUAGUUUUCCCAGGAGCAAGCAGCAGUAUUCUUUUCCAGGCUUCCAGAUUUCCCAAUAAAAUGUUGAAGAGUUUCUCUUCUCAGUUAUUUGGUUUCUGGCAAAUAGUCAAGACUAUGGGAAUGGCAGAUGCGAGGCCAGCCUUGGGGUUAGGCAGCAACCCAGGGCUUCAGAUUAGGGGCUGCUUUGUCCUCCUACCUCCUGUCCCUUCCAGGCCCUUUAUUCUGAGAAACAGACCAUCCUGCCAGUUCUGCUAAAGCUCUCCACGUAUUGCUGGAUUCAUUUGGAUCUAACAGUGUUCUUGCUCUACCUCAGUUCUCUAAGCAACUCCUUACCUCCCUGCUAUUCAGCAGUCAAUCCCAGGCACACCUGGAUCCAGGAAUAUGGUAAGAUCUGAUUCAAAUGUAUUGCUAUAAUCCCUUGUGGGAAAAAUGAAGGAGAAAAAACAAAGGGAGAGAAAAACAAUGCACAAAUAGCCAAAUAUAAUAAGAGAAACAAGUAAACCAGAUUUAAAAAGGAAUGCAUAAGAAGCAGCUAAUAAGAGCAGAGAAAUUCAAUUCCAUGUGAUUCAAUUCAAAAGAUUUACAGAGUGCCUACUAUGUGUAAGGCACUGCAUGAGGUGCUAUGGGAAAAUAAAAUACAACCUAUAGUCUCUUAUCUCCCUGGUGAUGCAGUACAUGAAAAUUUUGAAAAAUUAAAUAGAAAUUUUAAAUAACAGGUCAAGUCAAAAUGAAACUUGUCAAAAGGUUGAAUAAAAUUAAUUAUCAAUUGAUGAAUUGAAUUAGCAAUAGAUGAAUAGAAUAGACAAAAGAUGCUUGAUGGAAUUUUAAAGGAGAGCCCUGUUCAGAUUGAGUCUAAGCAGCUAGAGCACUGAGCCUGGAAUCAAGAAGACCUGAGUUCAAAUUUGACCUCAGACACUUAAUAGCUUUGUGACCCUGGCCAACUCACUUAUCUGUAAAUGGGGAUAAUAAUAGCACUUGUUUCCCCACUUGGUUGUGAGAAUUGAAUGAGAUAAUAUUUGAAAGCUGCUUAGAAUAAUGCAUAGCACCUAGUAGGUACUUAACAAAUGCCUCUUCCUGAAAAAUGUCUUAUAAAGAGAUGGGGUUUGACUUGAGUCUUAAAUAUUGAUGAGGUAUCUCAAAAUGGUUAGGAAAAAGAUAAAGUGUCAGGUCAGAUCUAGGGGGGAAUGUUUCUGAAAUAAUCUGCUUGUUCCUGAGCCUGCCCCUCCUGAAUUUGCAGAUAUUUUGUCCCCAAAGAAAGGCUUUGUUCUUUAGUGCCAAACUAUUGGAAGCAAUGGUGGUAAACCUCAGAAAGGUAGAUUUUGGCUCUAUCAGAAAAAAACCCCCAAACACCCACCUGACAAACAAUUAGAGCUCUCUUAAAGGGGAACAGGCUGUUUCAGGAUGUUUCCCAUCACUUGGGUUUUCAAGUGGAGGCUGGAUGACCCCCCCUUCUUUCAUUUCAAAUUAAGUAUUUUUUCAAUGAGGUAUUCAUUUUGUUUUCUCCUUCUCUCGCACACCCCUCCAGAAUGGGGAGAAACAAAACCUCUUGAACAAAUAUGCAUAGUAGAGCAAAACAUAUUUUCAAAUCAGUCCUGUCCAAAACUAUCAUAACAAUAGUUAACAUUUAUAUAGCACUUACCAUGUGCCAGGCCAUGUGCUAAGGACUUUACAAUUAUUUUCUCUUUUUGUCAUCACAACAACCCUGGGAGGUAGGUACUAUUAUUAUCCUUAUUUUCCAGUUAAGGAAACUGAGGUCAAUAGAAGUUAAGUGACUAGCUCAGAGUCACACACCCAAUAAGCAUUGGAAUCAGGAUUUGAACUUGGAUCUUCCUGAUUCCAGGUCUGGAGCUUUAUCCACUGCACCACAUGGCUGCCCUUAAAAAAGUCAUGGUUCAUUCUGCAUCUCAAGUUCAUCUCUGUCAGCAUGUACGCAGCAUAUGGAAUCAUUGGUCUUAUGGAAUCAUGAUCCUGGAUGACCCCUGGUUAAAGAUAUCACAGAGUCAGUUCCUGCCCAGAUCAGGUGUCAAAUCUGACUGCUUGUGGCCUGAAGCACUUCCGAAUAUGGCCAAACCAGAUUAUAAUGUAAUUGGGAAAUUUAUGGGAAAAUGGGAAAUAAAAAAAUAAAUACAAAUUCAAUAAAACAAAUACUAUUACAUUUUAAAACAAAGUUAUUAUGUGACCUACAAGAAUCCUUAAGUGUAGAUUGGUAAACCCUGUUUCCAUUUGGGCUUGACACCACUGGCCCGUGGUGUCACUAGAUGACCUGUGAGGUCCCUUCCAUUUCUGAGAUUUACCACAGUGAUUUUCUAGAGAUCAUUUGGUUACUGGGUGGUGCAGCCAAACCUGGUUCUGAAGCCUUCUCAUUUUGUGCUCAUUCAGUGUUUUGUCUACCAUACUUUGACAACCAUUUUGCUUCAUGCUUUCUUGGUACCCAGAAAUGGAAACCAUUGUAAGGGGGUUCUGACUAGAUCAGAAGUUCUUAACCUGGGAUUUGUGAACAUGGUUUUCUUAUUUAAUGUUUUGAUAAAUUUUUCCUCCCAACGAAAUUAAUUUCCUUUCUAAUCCUAUAUUGUUCAGUUGUGUUCAACUCUUUGUGAUCCCAUUUUGAAUUUUCUGGGCAGAGAUUCUGGAGUGCUUUGCCAUUUCCUUCACAGGCUCAUUUUACAGAUGAGGAAACUGAGGCAAACAGAGUUAAGUGUCUUGCGCAGGGACACAUAGCUAGUUAGUGUCUGAGGCCAGUUUUAAACUCCUGACUCCAGGUCUCCACUACUUAGCUGCCAUUUAUGUAUACACACCUAUGCCUCAUUCUGCAGUCUGAGUCUUUCACUUCUCUGUCAGGAGGUAGGUAGCAUGUUUCACCAUUAGUCCUCUAGAAUUGAGGAGUGGUCAUUAUGAUGUUCAGAGUUCCCAAGUUGUUUUAAUAUUUUUAUCUUUUUAUAAACUGUUCUUGUAAUGAGGGAGAAGAGAUGGUAGAGAGAAAGAGGGAAUAGGGGUGAAAGAGAGUGAAGAGGUUGUUCUUCUCCCUUACUUCUGGGGAGGGGGAUAAAGCCAGGUCCUGUCCCCUUGGAAAAAGAGUAUGUCUCCACAGAGAUGUUUUCUGGGAGAUGGAGGACAGGAGACUAGAGUGGGAUUGCCUCAGUGAGAUGGUAGGACGCCUCCCUCAGAGGAGCCCAGAGCUCCUGAGGUCAAACCUAUCUUUGAAAGGCAAGAUGAUCUCUUAUGCCUCUGCUUCCCAAAGGACCAUUAACUGUCAGCUCUUUUCAGUAUCCUAGAAGUGGUCAACUGCCAAGGAAAGAUGUCAGUUCCUUUGGUCAGACAGUCUUGAAUCACUGGGAUCUAGAAGUCAACCCUCCUUUUGGGGAGAGGAGUGACCCUCCCCAAAUUUUCAGUCCCCUUAACUAUGUUGUUUAGAGACUGGCCCAAACCUAAAUCUUAAAUGUCAAACAAUUUAUUGAAGUUGAAGCAGGAAAGGUGAUGGCAGGGGUAGGUAAGUAAAGCAGGCAGGAAUGUGGGUAAAAAAGGGAAACCCUACAGAUUUUCCCCUCUUGCAGAUUGGCUCCCUAGAGUGUGGAGGUCACAAGCUUCCCAACCCUGACCUCUCUCUUUUGCCAACUGCUAGAUCUUAAAUGUAUGAGUCCAGGGACAGAUAAGGGAGAGAGAGAGAAAUCCCAAGACAAAAGGUCUGUGGAUGGCUCUGUUCAAAAGUCCGAAUCCACAAUCCCACUUGAGGAUUUUAGAUUGCUGUAACUGAAGGUCUUAGUGGAAGUUUUUAGGGUUUCAGAAGGGGUAGUAGAUCUCCAAAGAAAUAGGCUCAGGGAAUCCACCUCUCUCCUCUAUCUUUGCCAAGCUAGAAGUGAGUUGCCAGUUGGAUCUUCAAGCUUCUGAUUCUCUCUUAGAAUUCUCAGUUUUUUUUCCUUUGCCCCUCCUCCACUCUCUCUUCAGCUGGUCUCCCCCAGAGACUGGUUGGUCUCUCUUCAAUGUAGAAUCUCUCUUCUCUUACAUUCCCUUGGUUGUUUUCACCCUACAUCAGUUCAUAUACAUUUUUUUCAGACUUCUGUGAAACUCUUCCUUUCAUCUUUUCUUUAACCCUUGCCUUCCAUCUUAGAAUCUAAGUAUCAAUUAGCAGUAAGAGCUAGAUAAUUGGGGUUAAGUAACUUGCCCAGGGGUCACUCAGCUAGGACAUGCGUGAGGCCAAAUUUGAACCCAGGUCCUCUUGCCUCCAGGCCUGGCUCUCUAUCCAAUGAGUCAUCUUGAUGCUUUAUGCCCCACCUCCAUUCAGACUAUCUUAUAGUACUAUGUGUUCCAUCACAUUCAUAUGCCAUGAUUGCUAGAAACUCUGUCAGAUUCCAAUUAGAGGUAUUUGUUUUAAGGAGUUAGGAUACACUUUCCUCUAUUCCUGGAGGGAUGGCAGGAUGGCCUGAUGAUGCUGAGAAGUGUUGGGGGGAGGAGUUGUGAGGGAGGUCAUUAAUCAAUCACUAAGUAUUUAUUAAGCAUCUUCUCUGUUCUGGGCACUCUACUGGACACUAGGAAGGAAACAUACAAAAAUGAGAUAAUCCAUGGCCUCAUAAAGCUUAAAUUGAGUGAGGUUCUGUCAGAUGAACUGGAGCUUUACUGUGAGGUAGGAGGCUCUAUUAAUUGCCUGUAUUUGUGGGGCAGGAAGAAAACUAGGGACUAGAGUAGAGGGGAAAAGGUUUGGAGCAGUCUCUACAGAAUGACAUAGGGAGUUGAUGAGAGCAGUGAGGAGUCAGCUGUUACAUAAAACACAAAGCUGUAGGGGAUUAAAUCAGCUCCCCUUUGGGACUUUAUCCAAUGAUGUUUAGUAGUAGUCAGAGUGCAGAGACAGAAAAUAUGGAUGGUGAACCAUCCACAAGUAGAAUGGCCUGCCUUAGUUGGUUAUGAGUGCCCUCUCCCUCAUUGGAAGUCCUUGAACAGAGAUUUGUUAUAUGGAUGCAAUAGGUAGGCUAUAAAAUAGAUUCUUUUAUUUAUUUAUUUUUUUGUUAUGUGUUGGACUAUGUGACCUCUGAGGUUCCUUCCAAUUUGGAAAUUCUGGGAUCUAAAUGUUCAGAGAGAAAGAUAUAGUCCUGGCUUGCCUUCUAUGACACGUGACAUCUGCAUGGCAAAAUGUCAGCCUUAUAAGCAACCAUCAUGUGUGCGAUAGACACGAUAGAAUUAAAAUUAUAUAAUAAAAAUGAUAAACCAAAAAAUAUUUCCUUAUGUCCAUCGUGAGCUUGUUCAGCGUCAUCAUGAGGUUAAGAGCAGAAAGUCUUUGUGUGGUUGCAUUUUUGGACAUUUAGUUAGGAUAAUUUGCUGUUUAACUCUGCUUGUCAAAGUCUCUGCCUGCUCCCUAUGGUGAUGACCCAGUUAGCUUGGGGUGGAGCAUAGUAGCUUCAUUGGCCUAGUAGAGAUGGUUGUAUAAGGAAGAGUCCUGCCAGAAAGAGCGGGACCAGUUUAGAAUUAGAGGGUAAUAAAAUACUACUUUAGGUUGGGACAUAGGAGAUUAUGGAGGUGGCAUGAGACACUCAGAAGGAGCAAAGGGAGAGGUGAUGAGAUGAAACAAACAAACCAAAUGCAAUCCAUCCUGAUUGUUAAAAUGGACUUUAAAGAGGGGAAGAUGGGUGUUAUAUGUCACUUUACCUGCCAGAAUUCUCUGAAAAUAUUUUCUGAGAUCUCUUGCAGAUUGAGUACGAAAAGGUCCCGUUGUAUAAAGUUCUGCUCAGUUAGAGCCGUGCAUUAGCAGAGUAAGGGGUAUUCCCUUGUGUGCUAACAUUUCUGAAGUAAAAUCUCUGGUGCAGACAGGGCCUUUUUUCCUGAGUUUUGGGACCUUAAACACUUCAAUGCAUCUCAAGGGGAUUUCAUGAAUGGGCAAAAAAUUUGGAUAUGGGAAAAGUGAACCCCAACACGCUUUACAGGUAACCUGACAAAUUCUUUAAGUUUGAAUUUUAUGUUAACAGAAGCCUUGCAUCUGGUAGCAUUAGAGAUUCAUUCCCUGUAUGUGUGCAAAGAACAGGUGGGCCAGCAUGAGUGGCUCCUGUGAGCUUGCCAUGUGCUUCUCCAGGAAGGGUGUGAACUCAGAUGGUCAGAAUUUCCAGACCUGGUCUGUCUGUGGACUUGCCUCUAAGACCAGCAAUGGUGAGUUGUCAUUCUCUUUUUCUCUUUGAAGUGAACACUCAGAGGCAGCUGGUGCUGUGCUGUGACACUUAUGCAAAGGCCACCACAAGGUAAUGUCUUUUCUUGGCCUUUUGGAUUUGAACCAGUGACCUGGAGGUGAGAAAUUCUGUAUUCCAUUACCAGUCCUUUGAGCCCUCCAGUGCACCCUGAUAUAGCCGUGAUACUUGUUGUCAUGUGUGGCAUGUCACAUCCGUUCAUGAGGAAAACCUACACCCAAAGGAAAGAGAAUACUCUGUACAAAUCCCAUGAUAGCAGCUUGGUAAUUAACAGCUCCAGCUUCCCUGAUUGGGAGAUGACUAAUAUUAACUCAUUGCCAGACUGUUAAUAAUCAUAAAUGGGGGGUUAUUCCAUAUCAACACCCCCUUAGUGGGCUCUUGUUUUUGUUUCUCAUUAACUAAAGUGAUUUUUCUUGUUAGAGGGAAUAAUUUUAAUCAUUACUCUAGAGGAGGCCAGAGGGACUCAAGUGAGGGCUCCAUGAUAUUCCAAGGUGGUCGGAAUGUUGUCAUUAAUGAGAAUCAACAGUCCACAGGUAACAACUGGCUGUCAUCUCCACUGAUGAUCCUCUGAGGGUGGAAAAAAGUCAUUACAAAGACCAGCGAGGCUCAGUGUUGUUUUGUUAAUAAAAGCUUUAUAAAAACCAGUAGUAAGCCAUCUGGACCUGGGACUUUGCCAGGCUGGAGAAACUUAAUAGCUUCUUGGGUUUCAGCAGUAAAAAAUUGGGUUAUCUAGGGGAUCAACCAUGUGCUCCGGAUUGGUGGGGAGUUACAGUUUAUUUAAAAGGUGAGAGGGCUUAAGAUAACUGGAAAUUGGCAGAAAGGAAGGCUGGACUCUUUGGAUGAGCCCAGUUUCUAAUAUCUCUGCAAAAAGAAAUAAUUUAUGGCUUCAUCUCAGCAACCUAGGAUACCAGGCUCAUCUUCAGAGCCGCAAAUAAACAUGGGAAGGGAACUUGUUACAUAAAUGAUUGUCAAAUAAUCUUUCUUCCAGGCUACUUCAUUCAUAAACUGAAUGCCUGUAGAAAGACAAGUUGUUUGAGGUGAGUGUUAAUGUGUUCCUUUGCACUUUGGAGAUUUUGCACCUGCCGGGUGGUGCUGGGGAAGGGAGAUGUGAAUUUUCUCAAAUACUCAUAGGACAAAGAGCCCUGGUAGUCUGUAUUAAGAAGUAAACUUCCUGAGAGGUAACAGUCACCCCAGAGAGCCAUCUUGUCUUCCUCAGAGCCAGGGGGAAUCUUAUUUAUGCCCAGCAUUAAAAAAUGUAAAUGGAGUCAUCUAAUAGCUGCCUCCUGAGAAAGAAAUGCAAAUGUCCAGGAAUGCUGGGUGGAAAUGUAGCCACAGACUAAGAAGGUGGAGGUAAUUAAUACUGAGAAAGAGAGUGAAAGGAAGUCUCUCUACUGAGCAAGAUAGAAAGCAGAAAUAUUUAUUAAAAGUUUUAGAGUCAUCAGAUAUUACCCCAGUGAAUGCAGCUACAGGUAAUUAUGGAGUCUCACUCACAAAAGUAACUUUCUCUUCUGUCUCUCUAAGGCAUCAGAACAGGCGAAACUCCAUUUCAGGAAGAAAUAAUUGAAAUGAAUUCUGAACUUGUUUUAUAUAAAAUCUUCUUAUUCAGUAAAGUACAGAUAGGGGAAUAUGGCAUAAGACCUUUAGAUCUAGAGAAGAGCAAAGGGGUUUGGGUUUGAAUCCAGCUCUUUAAUUUACUACCUACAUUACUUUGGACACGUUUCUUAACAUCUUAACUUCUCUGGAUUUCAGAUUCUUCAUUUGUAGAAGUAGGGGACCCUACUGAAUGACCCUUCCAAAGAAAUUCAAAGAACUAACUACCUAUGGAAUCUUUGCUCAAGGCUCUUUGUUAGGAUCUCAGGAUAAGCUAAUGAAACAACCCUUGCCCUUGAGCAGCUUACACUUUCCUGAGGUGGGUAGAACAGGAGCACAGAUAAAUAACGCGAAAGAGAGGGAGCAUAAAUAGCUGUCAGGUAGUACCUCAGCUGGACCUCAUGAAAAGAAGGAUUCUGAAAGGUGGAGAGGAUCAGGGACUGCAUCCCAGGUCUGGGGAACAGCUGAGGGAGGAGAUGUUCUGUUGGGCUAAGUAUCCAAAACUUCUCAUUAAGGUAAAAUAAGUCCUAAAGGAUAGAUUGGUACCAGACCGUGGAGGGCCUUAGAAGCCAAUUUGAGAAGUUUAUUCUAGAGAUAGGAGGGAAUCACUGAAGGCUUUUAAGGAGAGGAAUGACAUGGUCAGAUCUCUGUCAUACAGAGAUUAUCUUGGUAGUUGUGUAAUGAUGGAUUGGAGAGGAGAGAGACUGAGGGACUAGAGUCUUAUCAGAGCACUAUUGUAAUAGUCCAGGCAAUGGAUGUUGUGGAAUACUAGAAAGAAUUUUACACACAGUGUCAAAAGGCUUUCCAAAUCUUAUCCCUGUUACUUAGCUGUGUGAUCUUGAGCAAGUCACCUAAUUUCUGGGUGUCAGUUUCCUCAACUCAAAAGAAAGGCAAGUGACAUUGUCUUGUCUCUCUCUCCCAAGGGUGUUUGUUGUGAGAUUCAGAUGAGAUCAUGUAUCUGAUCUAUGGAGCAAUUAGGUAGUGCAGUGGAUAGAGUGACUGGAGUCAGGAAGCUUCAUCUUCCUGCGCUUAAAUCUGGCCUCAGACACUAGCUGUGUGACCCUAGGCAAGUCACUUAACAGUGUUUACUUCCGCAUCUUCAUCUGUAAAAUGAGCUGGAGAAGGAAAUGGCAAACUACUCUAGUGACUCUAGCAAGAGAACUCCAAAUAGGAUCAUAAAGAGUAGACAUGAAUGAAAAACAACUAAACAACAAAAAUCUAAACUAUAAAGGUAAUAUAAUUGAAGUAUGGCAUGAGUCUAGGUUAUUAUUAUAGAACUAAGCCAUCUAACCUUAAAUUAUCAUCAUAUUAGUCUUAAAGAAAAUAGGCCAGUGAUGUUUAGCUGAUAUUCUAGGGUAGCCCUUUGCCAAAAAGCUGCUAAAUAAAGCCUUCCACAGUACUAGCAAAGAGGAAUCAAGAAAACUGAGAAUGAGGAAAGCCAAGAGAGCUAAUGUUUGUGAAUGAACUCAUUCUUGGAAGCAGGAAAAAUUUUGUGAAUCUAAGAGCAGGGAAGAGGACAAAAGAUUCUGGGUCUCGCUGUGUCAAGUUGAAAACUCUAACUUACCAAAUUGCCCAUUUUCUUUCUCUUCUCCUGCUUUUGGGUUUUUAAACAACUUAUUUUUUCCCCUUGCCGUUAAAUUGAUUUCUUUUUGUGGCUCUGUUUCCUAUGAAGUGUCUGAAGUCUGGUUCUCUUUGACCAUCACUCUCUAUCUAGAAGUCACCAGCACAAUCUGCUGAGAGCUAGUACUUGCUGAUAAAGCUGUCGAACCCGUUUUCUGUGGUCAGGGGAAAGAAUGACCUCAAUGCCUUUAGAUUGAAUGUAGCCCACAAACUACAUUUCCUUCCUCCUUGCCGAGGGAGGCUAUUUCAGGAAUGGAAAUGUUCUUAUGUUGAAAACUUUGUUCACCAAAGGGUUUAGGAGGAAAUAAAAGAAUGUGAUAUUCUCUACACAUCUGAAUAAGUUCCAAACAUAUGCAAAAUGGUGGCAGAAGUUAAAAUCCAAAUGAAUUGAUGCUGAGGGCAAAUUGAAAGGCACAACAAUUGGAGGAUGUGUUCAUGUUAGAGCUUAGACAGAUCUGGGAGGAAAAAUAAACUUAGUUCAUUGUGAUUGCAAUUCUAAUUAUGUGUUCUUAUCUAUAGAACAUCUGACUUGCCAGCUGAAGUCUUCUUAUAUGUUGUCUCCCCCAUAAGAAUGUGAGCUUCUUGAGAGCAAGAAUUCUUUGAUUUUUCCUUUUGUGUCUCCAGGGCUCAGCACUGUGCUUGGCACAUAGUAAGUGCUUAAUAAAAGCUUCAUUCAUUCAUUCAUUUUAGAACAAAGAUUGUACCAUUAGUACCAUUUUACAGAGGUACCAAAGGAAUGAAUGAAGGUUCCUAAAGCAUUCCUGACAUUUGAGGAUAUAAAAAUGUAAACACAUUUUAUCAUUGAACAAGUGUUAUAAAAAUCUUUACCUAUAUUAUCAGAACUGCUUCCUCUGUAUGUUUUCAUUACAUUGGCCUGGGUAUUUAUCUUCUUUCUGUGAGGACCGUUACCUAAAGGCACAUAUUUUUCAGAACAUUAUAAGAUUCCUAGUGUGAUAACACUGGAGAAGGAAAAACCCACACAUGCAGACUAGUCUCGUAACAGCGUGAGCAAUGAUGGUGAGAUUGCAUGGCAUCUUCUUGGGCUGCACAUCUGCAAUGAACACCAGGCCCUACUUAAGCUAUAAUAUAUGGUUUUAAGGUCAUUCCUAGUUAUUAUCUGACCGGUAAUGACCACAGAACUAUACAUUAUUGCUAUUACGAGCCAUUUUGGUACUAUUUUCAGUUUUCCUUUUUAUUGAGAAGCUGCUGACACCCUCAGAGUUUCCCAGAGCUCGAUUACAGUGGCUGAAACUUAAAGCAAUUUCACUGGGCUGGGUGUUUGGAGAAGCGGACUCUUAUGUGUUUUUUUCUGUUCUCAUGCUGUCAGAGGUAGAAAAGUUGGCUCUGAAAUUUUACAUUCUUCUUUUCUUUUCUUUCUUUUUUUCUUUUUUUGCCACCUGGGACUUCCAGCUUGCAGAAGCGAGGUUUCCCUAUCUAUUUGCCUCUUUAAAACAGUUCACAGGGCUAAGAAAGGAAUGAAGUUAGUUUCUUUCCCCAGCACAAUGAUUUCAUAUUGCUUAGCAGUGAUCACCUCUUAGACACUGAAACUCACAUUCCAGAAAUUUUAAAUAGUGUGGAUAAAAAUGGAAGUAUUAAUAAAACAUCAAGACCUUUAAAGUCAACUAAUCUGUUGAAUGUCCUUAAUAACAUUUUGGAACUUUGGAGGUGGAGAAGGAAUUUACACCUGGGGUCUUAUUGGCAUGAGGCAAUAUUCCUGAGGCUUUUGCUUCUGAGGAAUUGCUUCAAAUUUUUAUAAAUCUCAGAGUGUCAAUUUUGUAAUCCCCUAAUUAGGAUUUUUGCAGAGACAGUAGAGCCACUUAGGGGAGGAGUAAAAAAAUAUUCAAAUGAACCUAACCUAGAGCAUUAUUUUGCAUCUGAGUCCAAAGUUAAGAUGUACAUAAAAAGUUAACUUUUAGUAAAUUCCACAUUGCUCCGAUUCCUAAUUAUGGUUAUGAUCAUGAUUUCUCAUAUUGAGAGACAUUGAGUAUUUUGAGUUAAGUAGUGGCAUUCACUAUUUUCAAGUUUUCAAAUGCCCAAGUAUGGAUUUUUGAAAUAUUCACCAUAAUAUUAUAAAAACCUACAUGGAGCAGCCUGACCUAGUGGAUAGAGGGCUUCCCUGGGAGAAAGGAAGACCUGAAGUCAGAUCCUGAUGCUGUUGUAUACUAGUUGUGUGACCGUGGAGAAGUCACUUAAAUUUGAUUACUCCAAAUCUGAGUCUAUAUAUUACAAAAAAUUGCCUGCCUACAUUGGUGAAGAGUAUUUCCAUGUGGGGUAUUCUCCAGAAAGAUGCCAUUAUAAGUCCAGAUUCUACCUUAUUCUCCCCCAAAAUCAUUAUCACUUGAGCUUUAUUCAACUAUUAUUUUCUACGGUGAUUCAAAGCAAUUGUUCAGAAAGUAAAAUAAGGAGAAAAAUCUGAAACGUUGCCCCAUGACGGCACUUACAAAGAUUUGCCAAAUGCCUUCCUUAGAACCCUGUGAGGCAGAUAGUAGAAUAUUAUUCUCAUUCCCAUUUUAUGGAUGAGGGAAGUGAGGCACAAGGGACCUCUCGAAGGUCCCUUGACUUGUAAGUGCCCGAGUUCAGCAAUUCCCCCCUUCUUAGAUACUGCUUCUUUGAGGAUAUCUAUUCAGUGCAACACUUGGCUAGAAAGACCUCCAUAAUGAGGCUACAUUUUGAUUCCUUUCCUGGUGGACAGUAAGUUCAUUAUAUUUGCCAUUGUAAUUUAUUAUUUUUAACUGCUUUUUCACAACUGGACAUAAAUUUCAUUGAUGUCUGUCUUUGUUUUCACCGCAGGGCUGCCUUACAAAGGGAUGCAUUUACAUUUUUAAUGGACAAUCUUAUCUAGAAAUAAGGAAUGACAAACUUACAUUAAUUAUUGCCCUUGUCCAAAGUGGAAAAAAAUCUCUGUCAUAUAUCUUUGUCCAUUUAUGUAACUGUCUAAUGGCAGAUAACUUAUACCUUCAUUGCUGCAGUAAAUUAAAAUAGUAAUAAUAACAAUCCUGGCCAGAGGAGCAGUUUUAUAAAUCUUUGGCUCUGUGGAAAGAUUUUCGGGAGGUGUCACUAUAUCUAAAAGGCACAAUUAUGAUGGCAGAGCUGAACCUUUCUAACGUGGAUCAUUGUAGUUCAGCUAUUUUGAACCAUGAUAAUCCCAGCCCCCUGCAUGCAUUAUUACUGGUAAUCUGCUCUCAUCAUAAUGUUCUCUUCCACAAGAGAAAUCAGAUGUGUAUAACAUCAUGUGCCAUGUGAUUUUUGCCAUCUUCAAGAGAUGUUGAGUAUUUGAAUGAUUAUCUCUUUUAUACCUAAGUACACAAUUCCAAGAAGGUUUAAAUCAAUGUGUUAAUUGGUAAGUGAUACUGUAAUUAUAUGUAUAAUCAUGGAAAUUUUGAAUCCAGAUUAUUUACUUGCUCUCAGGAAAUUAAUCUACAGAGGUCAUAUAUUAGAUUGCUUGUUUAUUAAGUGGAACCCCUGUAGUUAGAAAAUCCUGAUUGGCUACACCCGCAAAGAAACGUUCUUAGUGUUGGAUCCAGCAGGUGUCAACAGUUCAGGGCUUUGAAUGCUUAUUGAUCCUGAUUCAAACAGUUCAUUAAUCUAAGCACACAUUAUAUAGAUUUUUCAAUGUAAUUUUGAAAGGGUUGAAAAACUAUAUUGAAUGAUGAGAGAUGAUACUCAAAUUAAGCUUUUUAUGCGCAUCUCCCUUGGGAUCAUGACAUUCAAACAAGGGGAGGUGCUAGAGCACAAAGUAGUCAGGGCUUUGUCUAUUUGAGCCUGGUCUGAUGUUAAUGGUUAGGUAGCUGAUAACAUGCAUUUGACGACUCUCUUCAUUUCACUCUUUUACUCAUAGAAGUUGACUUUGACCAGGCAAGGAUGCUCAUAAUGGUUUCAGAGACACAAGAUAUACUAGAGGUAAUUAUCAAAGCAAAGAAUCUGAGUUUGUCAAGGGAUCAUAGGAACCAUGGCAUUCUAGAGCUUAAAGACAUCUUAGAUAUUAUUUGGUUCAAUCCCACCAACCCCCUGAUUUACAAAUAAAGGAAGCUGGAUCCUAAAGAGUGGAAGUAAUUUGUCCAAGGUCACUGGAUCUUAUGACUUUUAGCCCAGUCAUUUUUCUAGUUUGCAUUAUUAUUUCUGGAAAAAGCCUAGAAAAUAGGAAGUGAGAAAAUACUUUUGCUCUGAAAGAAGUUUAUAGUUAUAUAACAUUUUCAAGGAUGCUUUUCUUAACUCUCUCUUUCCUUCCCUCCCCUCAAAGUUUUUCCUGAAUAUUUCAAUUAUUUUCCUUAACUUUGCUUACUUUGCUAGAAUCACAGUCUCAUCAUUGUGUUCUUGGGUGAUCAUGUAAUUGAGAUCCAGUUAUACCUUCCAUGUGCCUAGGCCCUGUUCCUAUUCCAACUGUGUCUCAUCCUUCUAAAUUCUGCCCAUCUAAAGUGACUGUCCAAGAUAGAUACUACCACAUGAACACAGUAGACUACCUAUAUAUGCCACAGUACACUGGAGAAAUCUCACCACUUGCAAGAAAAUGAAAUUUUGCCAUCUCUAAGAAAACCUCUCUUUCAUUUCAACUUUGCAGAAGGCAGGGUACAUGACCUUAGGUCUAAAUAUACCAAAGGUGAUAAUUUUUUGGAGCAAAUCAAAUUAUACCUAAUGCAUUUUUAUGUUACUAAACCAACAAAGUGAUUUUAGAGCUCCAAAGGCUAUUAAAAUUAUUCCAUGUAAUUUAAUUUUUUUCUAAAAGUUCCAUUUAUUUUUUCCAUUUCUGGAAACUUUGCCUUUCCAGUCAGGUCAAGCUAUUAUUCAAGUCAGGUCAGGCCUUAUCCAAAGGCAGAAUAAGCGGCUGCCAAUAUGAUGUGAUUAGAAGGGCAUUCAAAAAUCUCCUCCCAAUUUUCUCACCCACUUGCUUACAUAUGAAAUUCCUUUAAUACAGGAUAAAGGCUUUCAUUACCCAGUUAAAGAUAGGUCUUAAAAUAGCCUUGGGAAAAGUAACAACACAUUGGCUUAAAUUUACACCAAGCCAAAUUGCUAAUAUCAGAUCCAUUCAGAGAGAACAGGCUUUGAGAAUAGCUAGUAAUAAUAAUAGGUAGGUCUACUACUGUAACCACUGUGCAACCUAGUCACACAAUUGAGGGGAAAGGAGCUGGGUUCCUGAAGUUGGAGCCUUGGAUAUGUGAUAUCCAAAGGCACCAAAAUGAAAAAGAGGGCAAUAAAGGCAAACUGGUUUUUGCUGAGGAUCAUCUUUGAUUUAUGCCAUCUAAAAUCUAAUAAAAUCAAGAUUUUUUUUGAUUAUUAGAGUAUUACUUGAUGACUUCUGGUAGCAUCUCAUGGGUACUUAGGUCUCACUGUGACUCUGGGUUCUUUGCUUAGUAAGUUUCUCCAUUAUUAAUAAUCAGUUAAUAAGCAUUUUUUCUCAUGUGUUCAAAUCUGACCUCUGACACUUCUUAGCCAUAUGAUCCUGGACAAGUCAUAGCUCUAACUUAGCAGAACUUUACACAAUGGGACCUUUUCUUACUCAAUCUGUAAGAGAUCUCAGAAAAUAUUUCCACUUAACUCCAGUUGCCUAGCCCUUGCCACUCUUUUGUCUUAGAACUGAUACUAAGAUGAAGGUAAGAUUUUUUUUAAAAAGCAUUUUUUUUUCAGUUAGGCAGUACUCAUACAUAUACAAAGAAAGAAACAAUCCCUAUUCUCAAGGACUUUACAUUCUGUCAGGGAACAAUAAGCACACACAAACACACACACACACACACACACACAAUUAAACCCAAGGCAGUUAGGAAGGCUAAACUAGUGAUUUUGUGGGGGACAGGAGGUGAUGGUGGUGGUGUGUGUGGAAGUAUCAGGAAAGGUCUCCUGCAGAAGAUUGUGCUUUGGAUGCAUCUUGAAGGAAGAAAGGGAUUCUAUGAGAAUUCUAUGAGAAAUUCAAGGAGAAAAGUGAGGGUAUUUCAGGCAAGGCAAGUAGUGAGUACAAAGACCUAGAGUUGAGAGAUUGUGGGGAACAAAUUGUGCAUGAAGGAGAGUUAGAUUUUUUUGUCAUUUCACACAAGCAGAGACUUUGUCAGAAGGGACCCCAACAACCAUCUAGGUCAUAUAGUAUAACCUAUUCUCAAAAGGAAUCCCUGCUAUGACAUACCUGAUCAGUGGGACAUUCUUAGGUGGGGAAAUUUCCAAAGCUAUGUAAUAGUAGAAGAAAAUUGAGUAGAAUAAGCCUCAGAAUCAGGAGCCCUGAGGUAUAGUCAAAGUUCUGCCACUCACUGUGUGGGCCUCACAUUCUUCAUUUGUAAAAUGAGGGACUUAAGAGGUGAUCUUUAAUAUUUGAUGAUGACUAGAAUCAUGUUUUCUAUGAUCAGGGACAGGAAAACAAGAAUGGUACUAAUAGUUCCAUUCAGCAGGGCUUUUAAUCUCUGGGAAAGUCGAUCUGCCAGAUCCUGGAGCAUAUACACAUUUUAGUGAGGGACUAUGAUAUAGGAACAUUGAUCAAGAGAUGGAAGGGAAUUUAGAUGUCAUUUCAUCCUACCUCAUUUUACAUAGGAGGAAAUUGAGAUCCAGAGAGGUUAGGAGACAAAGAUAUAAGUAGUAUAACAGCUGGGAUUCAGGGCAGGAACUUGAUUUUUCACUUCUUUGAAUUACCAGAGUUUUGCACAGUGCCUGGAACCUAUAAAGAGUCUAAUAAAUACUUGGUAAUUGAUUAAUUUUAAGAUAACUUGAGGAAGGAGAGAUAACUAAUUAUUAGGGGAUCAGAAAAGGCUUUCUUGAGGAAACAAAACUAAGAACUCUGAGAGGUGCAGAUGGGAAGGGGUGUAUUCCAGUACUCUGGGCUAGUCUUUAUAAAGACAUGGAGAAUAGAGGACUGCCAAGUUGGUAGAAUAACAAAUAAUAUAGUUUGACCUGAGUAUAGAAUACAUAAAAUCCAGAUAGGAAGCCUGGGGCCAAAUUGUGAAAGGUUUUAAAUGACAAGCUGAGACAUAUGUGUUUUUCUUUAGGCAACGGGGAGCUAUCAAAAAUUUAAUCUGAUGGCUACUAUUGGGUUCUACUGGACAGCACUAGGUACUUUUUUCUCACUAUAUAGUUUUGGCCAUGGAAAAAACAAUAUCCCAAUCUUUCUGGGAAUGAUAUAAUGUAAAGAGCACUGACUGCAGUGGUCAGAGGACCUUGGUUCAGUUCUUUCUUCUAAUGUGUAUUAUUUAUGUGAUCUUGGGCACUUAACUUCCAGAGGACUCAGUUUCUUUAUUUAUAAAAUAGGGAGCUUUGCACUAAAUAGCCUCUGUAGUCCCUUCCAGCCCUAGAUCUUUGAUCCUAUAAAAUAUUUGUAGCCAAUGAAAACCUACUUUUCAUUAUUUCAGAUGUUAUUGUACAACAUUAUAAAUGUUACCAUUUUGCCAAAUUGUAGUAGAGAAAUUAUUACCCUUGGAGUUAGACUUCCCAGGGUUUGAAUCUUUACUUUAUCACUAACUAUGCGACUUUGUAAAUUAACUCCAUUGAUUUGAAUACUUUGUUUCCUAAUCAAAUAGAAAGAGGGAGUUGGUCAAGAUCAAAUGGUCUCUAAAGUUUUUUUCCAACUCUAAAUCCCAUGUCUUUAGUUAAAAUAUGCACUACUAAAAUACAGAACUGCUGAGUUAGUAAAAAUGAUUGUGAAUUGUUUAACCACAAUUCUCUCCAAGACUCAUUUAUUUAACUUUCUUUUUUAUUACAAAAUGUGGGUUAGUAGGUGGGUCUCAAUUUUUCAGAGAGGAUUUCCUAGAGUAAGACUUUGGUGUUGAUUUUAAAAGCCUUAGGAGAAAGUAUAAGUAUGGAAGGGAGGCUUCAUCCAGUUCUCUCAAUAGAAGGCAAUUGAAGGCUUUGAAGGUGAGGAGGUAGGAAGGUGAUGUGAAGGGAUCAGGGUGGUCCUUAUACUUAGGCCAGUUGUGAGGAUUUAUUGAGGUCUGAUUUGAAUGGCCUCUCUCACUUCUCUGAAAAACAUGUUUCCUAGGUUACCCAAGAGUCCUAUAUUAUCUUGGCUUUGGCUAAAGAAGGUCCUUGUUAAAUGCAUGUGUCAUCUGGGACCAAUAACAAAUCAGCGUUUUAUAUUCUAGUUCAAAGUUUAGUUGGUCCUCUAGGCAGUGGCUAGAGGGAAGGACUAGAGAGCCAGGGAGUCUCUAGGAGACUCAGAGAAGGGUAGGAUCAUGAAAUAUCAUCAAAAAGCCUAAACCUACUAUUGGUGACUUGAGAAAUAGGAGAGGUAUUUCCAAGGCCGGCUCAAAAUAGACAAAGUUAACUUUCACUUUUGUUUUGGCAGCUAGUAAAAUUGUCCAGAUUGGGGUAGAAGUUAUAGCCAGGGUGAAUAGGAGAUGAAGGCGCUUGGGAAGUAUGUAUAGAGUCAGUCAGUGAAUGUCCUGAAGCCCCUGCUGGGAAAUUGUUCAUGAUUCACUGGGCAAGAGGAGCAAAUGGAGUUAAGUAGGGGUGCUGUGGUAGGACAAAAAAUUAAUUUUAAAAGAAUCUGACUUCGUUAGCCUACUUAUGCAGCUUUUCAAUGCCUUCAGUGCUCUGGAAAAAAUAAUCAAAGGAGAAUUUAGAACUGUUCUCGGAUUGUCAGUUUUUCAUCUAAAAAUGUUAAUGUACAUUAAACUUUUAAUUAAAAAAAGCAUAUCCCAUCACAAACUAUUUUUAACAUGGAAUAUUUAGCCAUGGUGUACAAAUUCUCUUCCAAGGUAUACUAGGCUAUUUAAGAAAAAAUGAGUUCGGCUUUGAAAUGAGCUGAAUUGUGUUCCCUCCCUUCCUCCCUCCCCCAUUAACUGCCUGCCAGAUCAUUCUCUUCAAAUUGUAGUCUUUGCCGAAUGUAUACAUCAUUAUGUUGUUUAAUGUAAGACAAGGUUGUAAUUCAAUCAUGAGUAUCUGCUGACAUCAUAAAUGUCAAGAGCAGAUCAAGCAGUUUAUGGAUGGAAUAAAGUACCAAAAUCUCAUUACCAGCCUUUAUAGCUUGUUUUUCUUCUUUUGGUUUUAAAAUCAUUCUGUCUGAUUUUAGAGAUGGCGAGGGCUAGAAGUAAGCUUGGUUCUGGCAUUAGUGCUGUUUGCACCUGAUUCUUUGAGAAGACAUUUGACCAAGAAGUGCUAACAUUGGCAGGAACUGUUUUUCCUUCUCCUUGUGAUACCCACCCUUUUGUGUGUUUUGCUGCGGUUGAGACAAUGAGACUAUUAAUAGUCAGUAGGACAGAGGCUUAAUAGAUUAGAUGGGUGAUUACUAAUGCUGCCUGUGGGCUGGCCACUACAGGCAUCCAGUCAUUUCAGCUGCCUCUUAGAGGGGAAGGAAGGAUUUGCAGGUGUCUUAAGUUAAUCCUUCCAGGAGGAUGAAGGCAAGAUGGGCUCUCUUUUUGGCUCACCUGACCACUAGAUGGCAAUGUUGUCAUAGAGAAAGAUGGUCAUGGGUACAUAGUUUGGCUGUGAACUAUAAAGCCUUCUUGAAGGCAGAAGUUGAAAUAGGGCUGCUUUUGUGUUCCAGGCUUCUGGAGACAGCAUAGUUGUGUGAAUGGUGCCACAUGGGUAUCCAAGAGCUGGAUAAACAUUCUUCUGAACCAUUUGUGAAUCAAGGAUACUACUGAGUGGGGAGGGCUUGUUUGGUUAGGAGCUGGCAUUGCCUGUGUUGAUGGGAGAGUUUAGUGGGUGGAGUGGGUGGCAGAGGAAGGGUGAGGGAUGAUGAGAACAAUUGGAACUAUCACAUUUCCCCAGUUUCUGAGCAGGACAAUCUCCUCCAAAUGAGCAACAGAUGGUGUCUUGAUCUGUGGCCUCUGAGGAAGAAGAGCUCUUUUAUUUGGUGUUCAGCAGCUGGAAGAAUCUGGAGGGAAGUGGUCCCAGAAUCGAGGAGACCAAGCUGCUUGAAGGUGGUAUGUUCUAUACAGACCCUCUUUGUGUUCAUAUUCUUCAGGCUUGAAGUCAUUUCUCUACCCUUGAAAAAUACUACAGCAUAUGUAUUAUUGUGAAAUACACAUGGCACUGUUUGAAAAAUAUAGUUUUCUUUUCUUUUUAAAACAGAAGCCCAUUUUGUAAAAACAGAAGCCUCCCCUCUGCCCUUAAAAGGAAGAACCAAAGUAUUGAAAUGCAAGAGUUAUUGCUUCUCUGUGAAGCUAAAUGAUUUUAAUUAUUAGCUUUUGAAAGAAAAGAUGCUGAUUGAAAGUUAAGUAUGAUUGGACAUCUAAAAAGUGUCAGUAAAAGGCCAAAAGGAAGAUAUGAGAUUUCAUUUGUAAUUAAAAUAGCAGAAACAGUUGUGAGAAGACAUGUGGAAUAGGACAGAACUCAAAAAUGUCCACAGUAGUUUAAUUUGAAUAUGACAGUUUUCUCUGAUACACAGAAUAAGUGUAUCCCUGAAGAAUUGUCUGUAAGAGGAAAUUUUGCACAUUGAACCAUUUUCCUAAUUGAUUUUUCUAACAGAAAGACAAAAUAGGCCAAAGUAUCCAGAAGUGGAUGGAAAGAACAGUGGAAGGCUGAAAACCCAGAUUUUAGUCCUGGUUCUAUCAGUAAUUUGGUCUGUGAGGUUGAGCCAGUCACUUGAUUGGUCUAGACCUCUGUUUCCUCUUUAAACAAUAAGAUUGGAAUACAUGAUCCUAGGUUUAAUUCCAUGUGUUUUAAUGGCAUUGUGCAGUGGAAGGGUUCCUAGCCUUGGAAUUAGACCCCUUGAGUUUGAAGCUGACCUUGAAUAAGUUAUCUAAUCUCUCUUGGCUUCAGUAAAAUGUGCCUCCAUAUGACUUGAUCUUGGUUUUCUUCUUUCCCAUCCCUCUUUUAACCCUGUAGCUACUAUUUAUUUUACUGUUGAUUCUAGCUUUCACAGAGAGCUCAGAGAUGCAGGAUCAGUGACAUUUGAGUUAGGUAGAGGUCCUCCUUCCAGGUGGGUUCUCCGGUAGAUUUCCAUUUUUAAGGAGGAUGUGAAUUCUUUUUCUGUGUCUGUUCCUCCCCUCUCCCCUCACCUGGUACCAUCAGCCAACAUUCUGAACCUGAAGAGUUAAACUUCCCCUCCAUAAGCCUCCCCUUUAUCUGGGGGAUCUUCUAAAGUCUUGCCUAGGGUGGGAGUUCUAAACCUUUUUGGUGUCAAGGCACCCUUGGACAUUCAUUCUAUUGGUGAACCCUAUAGACUCAUCAGAAUCAUGUUUUUAAGUGCAUAAAAAUUAAAUGCAAAAAAGGAAUACAAAGGAAGACAAUUAUAUGAAAAUACAGCUGUCAAAACAUUAAACCAACAACCAAAAAAGUCAUCAUCCUUAGGUUAAGAAACCCAGGUCUGGAUAUAUAGGCGAGUUUCUAGGCUUAGUCUCCUUUUCUCUCUCCUUCCCCAACAUACUUAGAAAGGUGUUUAAUGUCCUUACACCCACAAUGCAGUACUGAGUUACACAUUUGGGUCCAAUGUUCUUAUCUCUUCUAAUUCAGGGAUCUUCAGAUACUGGCAGUUUCCUGUUGUCACCACUACGGGUGUUUGUGCAGAGCCCUCUCUGAGGAGCACAAAACACUUUGCAAACAUUCUCAUUAAUAAGAUGAUUAGUAACAAGCAGCUUGUUAAUGCAGGUAUCCUGGUGAAAUUUCAACUUGGGUAAUUACAUCCUGCCACUUGUGAAUUCCCCAUGCAGUUUUCUUGGGGGAAGGGAAGUGUGGGGAGAGGAGAAGAGAAGACUUUAUUUUUCAGUCCUAAAAUAUUGUACGCUUUUAGACUGUCAAUGUGAGGGUGUCAUAGAAUAAUAGAAUUUCAGGGUGGGAAAGGGCCUUAGAUAAGGAUCAUCUAGGCCAAAUUUUGCUGAGAGAAUGGAUUCCUCUGAGGUUAAAUGAUUUGUUCAAGGUCACACAGGUUGAAGGCUUAAAAAGAGCUAGGCCUAUGAAAACACCUGGAAUACUUGUGUUGGCUCAUCAAACAGCCUUCCUGGUAUGGAGGUACCUGGGAAACUGAAUUAAUCAGUACUGGGUGCCCAUUAAGCCUAGAACGAAAAACAGGAAACUAAUUGGUCUUGAGGGCUAUGCUGAUGGUCAUCUUUCCCAUGUUGGAAGGUAUCUGGACUGGAGCAUUUAGGACCUCUCCUUUAACAUUUGUAAGAGAUAAAGUGUUCUCUCUUCCACUCUGCCUCUUUCCUCUAGGCCCCAUGCUGACCAGACAUUAGCUAAACUUUUUCUCUGAGGUCUUUAGAUACUUAAAAAAGAGGAAGGCAGACUUCUCAGUUACACAUAAAGCACCUGAAAACAUUAAUUAGAGGUUGAAAUUGACCACUUUAUUGCAGAUGUCAUGCACAUAGUAUUUUUAAAAAUAAUGCAUGGCAGUGGGGACGAUUGCCUUUCUAAAUGUUGUAGACUACCAGUGGUAAAGAGCUAGCCCAACUAAUCUCAAGGAAGAUGAACUUUCAGCAGUCCAACUCAACAAGCAUUCAUUAAGCACCUACUAUGUGCCAGGCAUUUUACCUGGUGCUAGAGAUACAGAGCCAAAAAAAGAAAUACUUCUUCUGGUGGCUCCAGCCUAUGGAGAGAAAGAGAGGUGAAAGCAAAGUCCUUUGAGAAAGGAGAGGGCAGAUUGUGCAGGUCCUAUAUUAAAUGCUACAACCUGGGUUGGUGUUUUAAAGUUAAGCCUUGGACACUGCCAAUGGCCAUUGUAGGAUGUUUUGGCAGCCCACAGUGAGCAAGAGCUGGUUUGGACUCCCUGAGAUUUCAGCAAGCAAUCUAGCCUAGUAAAUGCAUUAUUUUUGCCACUUGACUUAGAGGUAAGGUUAUUGGUUCACAUGUAUUUGCAACUACCUUUUGUUAGAGGAAUCUUCCUUGGAGUCAUUCAUUUAGGGGAUGGCAUCUUGUUGCAACUGGAAAACAUUCUUCCCUUGAGCUUUCUCCUUGAAUCUUGCUCUUUCAGGGUUCUGCAGCCUUUUCUACUUAUAAUCUUUUCUAUUCCUGGACUUCAUUGCUUUUAUCUUCUCACCUUUCUUCCUCCAGAGUGUAAAAAAAGCUUAGGGCCAAACACAAAUGAGGCAAUACAUUUUUCUGGAAGGCUAGUGGAGAUGCAAUGCUUUUUGAGACUUCAGCACUCAUUCAGUAAUAAUGACUCCUGUUUAUGAAGAGCUUUUAGAUUUACAAAGUUGCCUCCUAAACUCCAUUUAUGGAUUUACAAAGUUGUCUUUUAAAUUCUACUUUAAUAGAUUACAAAGUUGCCUCCUAGAUUCCACUAAGAAGUUCAGAGGUAGAAACAGGGAGUUAGAACUGAAAGGGACUUUUUGGGAGAUGAUCCAGCAACAGGGGUUUUUACCUGGAGUUUAUGAACUUGUUUUAAGAAAUAUUUUAACAACUGUAUUUCAAUAGAAUUGGUUUCCUUGUUAUUCUGUGUAUUUAAUUUUAUAAAUUUAAAGACAUCCCAAGACGGGGUCCCUGAGUUUCACCAGACUAUGUUAUUAAUUUAAAGCGUUAUUUUCAAAAGAGGUCCUUCAGUAUCAACAGAUUGUCCAAGUAGUCUGUGACACACACAAAAAAGGCUAAGAACCAGGGAUCCAGGUCAACCUCCUCAUUUUAUAGAUUAGAAAAUAGAGAACCAAAAAACUUAAAUGACCUUUCCAAGGACACAUAGUUGAUGAGUAGUAGAGCUAAAAUUUUAAACUAGAUUCUCUGACCCCAAAUCUAUCACUUUACUACAAUAUAUGAUGUUACCCAGAGACAUAAACAAAAGGGGCAUUUAGUAACUAUCUUUAAAUUUAAAAUCCCUCCCUAAAAUAUUUCAAAAUCUGUGAUUUCAGUUCCAUGGAUACUUUUGCUCCUGCUACAGAUCAGAGCUCCUCUACCCACCCCUCAUAAGAUGACUCUAAGAAUGUCUAUGGCUAAAAAAUUCCUUCUUACUUGGUGUACCGUUUAGUGAUUAACUUUGCUGAAAAUUGGUAGGCUUCUAUUUAAGGACUUCCCAAUUUGGUAGACCCUGUAAGAGCCUGAGUUUUCCUGACAUAACUUUUGAGAAACCAGGAUCAACUUGCCUGGGAUGAACCAUUAAGGAGAACUUUAGUGGCCCCUGACAUCACUUCAUUUUCUUUUUUCCCCUCUCCAUCCUUCCCCAAAUGCUCUGAGUUUUUCUCUAGAGCAGAUGAUACUUUUCUUUUUACCUACGUUUUUAUAGCACCACAUUUUCUAUUUAAGUAUGGCUUUAAACUUAAUUAUUGUUAAUGUUUUAUUAAGAAGCUACAGAUUUUUUUCAUCAAAUAUAUGAUUUUUAAAGGCUUGCUGCAUUCUUAAGUAAGACCUGGAAUUUCUGUCAUGUCUCAGGGCCAAAAUUAUUUAAUUUUAGAACACAUCCUAGAGCAGAGUCACAAUUCUAGAACCCUCAUUUUAUUGGUGAGGAAAUAGAAGCUGAGAGGUCAGUGACUUGUCCCAGAUCACUCAAAUGAACAGCUGUCAAAUGUGAGUCUAGAAAACAUAUCUGCUAGUCCCCAGUCCUUUGCUCUCUAGAUUAGAUCAGUAGGAAAACAGGAUUAAAAUUAUAGAAAUUUGUCUCUUAUAUAACCAUCAUUUGCAAACUGAGGAGUAUAACAAUAGCUGACAUUUAUAUUGUACUUUUAAGGUUUUUGAAGUACUUUACAUACAUUAUCUCAUAAAAACAUAGUUUUGGGAAGCAUCAACAGCACCAUUUGGGAGUUUUAUUUAAUGCAGGUAAUUUGAGUCACCUUAUUGCCUUGUCAAGGUGUUAUUAAGAGUAAAUGAAUUAUAUUUUGUCCCACUGGGUGAUAUUGUAUCUGGUAGCACUUGGAAUAAUAGAAUCAUAAAUUUAGAUCUGGAAGGGACCUUAGAGGUUAUCCAGCUCAAUCCCCUCAUUUUACAGUUGAGGAAACUGAGACCAAGAGAGAUUAAGAGACUUGCCAAAGUUCACAGAGGCAGAUAAGUGGCAGAACUGGCAUUAGAACUCUGAUAUUCUGAUUCUAAAUUCAGCAUCUUUUGUACUGCAUUUUGCUGCCCCUCUCAAAUUACUUGGUAUAAAAAAAAACCAUUCUUAUGAAACCAAUUGAGGCAGAAUUUCAGGGGUAAAUUGGCAUCUCCUUUGUCUGGUUCUCAGCAUAGCAUUACAUACAAUUAGGUUUUUUUCUCUGUAGGCCCCAAGUCACUAGUACAUCCUGGUGAGUACAAAUGAUUGGAAAUUAAAUGAUCAUUGUAGUGAGCUUUCCGUGACAGAAUCUUAGAGUGGGAAGGGGCCUCAGAAGGCAUCUAGUUCAAUUUAUAUGUAAGCAGGAAUAUCUGUUUCUCCUAAGGUAACCCCUUCCACUUUUUCUCCUAUUAAUAACUAUUAUUUGUCAGGUUAUUUACAUGGCACAGUGGAUACAAUAAUGGACCUUGAAUCAGGAAGGCCUGAUUUAAAAAUCUGGCCUCAUUCACUACCUGUGUGAUCCUAGAUAAGUCAUUGAACCUCUGCCUCAAUUUCCUCCUCUGAAAAAUGGAGAUAAUAAUACCUACUUCUCAGGGUUGCUGUACAGUUCCAAUGAGAUUAAUGUAAAGUUCUAUGUAAAUAUCAGUACUUAUUGUAUCUUGUUUUUUUUAUAUCAACCAUUUCCCAGUAUUAUUUACCAAUUUACCUCUUACCAUUUGUUCCUCCCUUGAAACAAAGAAAAAAAAUUAAGCAAAACUCAUUCAAGUGGUCCAUUUCUCCAAGUGUAUAUGCCAUUCUACAGUUAGGGUCCCCCACUUCUAUCUAAAGGAAUAUAGUAAGUUUCCUUUUUACUCUGGUUGAAAAAUAGAAAAGUGGUUCUGGAGAACAGACUAGAUAAGCAAGAACCUUUUCACUUUUGAAAAACCCUCAUGCUUAGGAUAUUUAUUCUUCCACUGAGCUUAAAUCUGCCUUUCAGCAGCUUCCACCCACUUUUCAUGAUUCUGCCGUCUGGGUCAAAGCAGAACAAGUCUAAUCUAUCUUUUAAAUUCUAAACACUGGUUUAGUCAGAAUACUUGCAUUGGAUCCCAUAGAUCUAUUACUUUCCUGCCAGUGUGACCUUGGCAAGUUAUUUAAUAUCCUUUGGCCUCAAUUUCCUCAUAUGUAGAGGGAGCUUGGCAUAGUAGAUAGAGAGCUAGCCUCAGAGGUGGGAAGACUUUGUUUCUGACUCAGAGAGGCUCUUUGACACUGUGGUAAGUCACUUGGAUUCUCAGUGUCCUCAGGCAACUUUCUUUUUUUAAAAUUUUAAAAUUUUUUAAAUUUUUAUUUGGUCAUUUCCAAACAUUAUUCAUUGGAAACAAAGAUCAUUUUCUUUUCUUCCCUCCCCUCCCUCCCACCACCUCUCCCAUAGCCCAUGCACAAUUCCACUGGGUAUCACAUGUGUUCUUGAUUCAAACCCAUUUCCAUGUUGUUGGUAUUUGCAUUAGUGUUCAUUUAGAGUCUCUCCCUCAGUCAUAUCCCCUCAACCCCUGUAGUCAAGCAAUUGCUUUUCAUCAGUAUUUUUACUCCCACAGUUUAUCUUCUGCUUGUGGAUAGUGUUUUUUAGAUCCCUGCAGAUUGUUCAGGGACAUUGCAUUGCCACUAAUGGAGAAGUCCAUUACCUUUGAUUGUACCACAAUGUAUCAGUCUCUGUGUACAAUGUUUUCCCGGUUCUGCUCCUUUCGCUCUGCAUCACUUCCUGGAGGUUGUUCCAGUCUCCAUGGAAUUCCUCCACUUUAUUAUUCCUCUUAGCACAAUAGUAUUCCAUCACCAACAUAUACCACAAUUUGUUCAGCCAUUCCCCAAUUGAAGGGCAUCCCCUCAUUUUCCAAUUUUUGGCCACCACAAAGAGUGCAGCUAUGAAUAUUCUUGUACAAGUCUUUUUCCUUAUUAUCUCUUUGGGGGUACAAGCCCAGUAGUGCUAUGGCUGGAUCAAAGGGCAGACAGUCUUUUAUCACCCUUUGGGCAUAGUUCCAAAUUGCCCUCCAGAAUGGUUGGAUUAAUUCACAACUCCACCAGCAAUGAAUUAGUGUCCCUACUUUGCCACAUCCCCUCCAGCAUUCAUUACUUUCCAUAGCUGUUAUGUUAGCCAAUCUGCUAGGUGUGAGGUGGUACCUCAGAGUUGUUUUUAUUUGCAUCUCUCUGAUUAUAAGAGAUGUAGAGCACUUUUUCAUGUGCUUAUUAAUAGUUUUGAUUUCUUUGGCUGAGAACUGCUCAGGCAACUUUCUAACAUCAUACAGAGAAGGGGUAGAUCUGCAUUGGUAAAAUGGAACUGAUCUACAUUGGUAGGAAUUUCUUCUCAGGGAGCUCUCUACAGUGAAAUUACAGGUCUAGUUGCUCACCACCCUCUAACCCCGUGGAUUGGAUUAGACAACUUCUGCAGGUAGUUUCCUUUUCACUUGAAUUUGAUUAUCCUGUGAUGUAAGAUAGUUACUGUAUACCUUUCCGCUUUCUUCAAGCCAUACGUGCCCCCAAAAGAUUAUGAUAGAAAGGGCUUUCUUGAUCCAGAAAGACUUCAUUUGAUAUCUUUUGCAGUUUUUCUUCAGAUUUGUAUUCCUGCCCUUACACAGAAUGGGAGUGGCGCGGUGGUAGUAGUAGUAUGCUAUCUCUGUGAAAGGAUGCACAGGCCAUCAGUGUUCUAAAUAGAGAUCCUUGGUCUAGUCAGAUACUUAGUGGCUUCCUGAAGGAAGUUGCAACAUGAAAUUUGAUUUUUCGAGAAAAUAUUUUCAUAUGUAACUUGCAGUUUACACAUAGAGUAAUGAGCAAAAUGGAUACAGCUGUCUUUUCAAUUAACCCCUGAUGCUGUUAGACUUAGUCUUCCCACUGAAGUGUUAAUGCAUCCAGCUUCCUCCCUCUGCACCUGUAUGUUUCUGAUCUUCCCAGGAUCAAAGAGAGUUGUGGUUUGGAGGAGAAAGAAGAUGUGCUCACCUAGUUGUCCUCUGGUUUCUAUGGCUGAAAUAGCUUAAAGGAAAAAAAAAAUCUAAAAUAGGACACUUAAGAAAAACGCCAUGACAUUGUUCUUGUUACCAACCAAACAGAAAGAACCAUCUGUUGAAUUCUGAAAUGUAACCAGAAAGGUCUUCACUCCCUGGGGAACAUUUUUAAAGGAACAACAACAGUAUUUCUUUUGGCUCUGAAUAACAGGACUAGGAGCUGGAUUGAUGUUCUCACUGGGGCCCAAACAGUUAGCGAUACAUCGUCAUAUUUGUGAGAGUCUGCUUUUGGUGCCUCUGAAACUGGUAGCCGAUUACUCAGGCUGUUCUCUCCAUGUCAGGUUCCCUUUAUAGGGGGCCAAAUGGAACAAGCUGCUGCGAGAAUUUCUCCUGAGGCUAGAGAUCCCUGAAUCAGUCCUGUGUUUACAUACACAUGUACAUAUGUUUUUAUUCUUGACACAAAAGCUGUUUUCUCUAAGUGAUUAGGAAAAAGAUGACACCAGUACCAGAUUAAUCGAUGUAAUGUUUCAGUUUUCUACUGUGGAGUGCAUGGAGUUAUUUGAAAAUUACACCAAAUGGUUUCUUAAAACAGUAAGCCCCCUAGGUUGUUUAAUUUUGAAAUCCCUCACUCAAGCAGAGACAGUUUGCAAGUGUGUGUGACACUGGGGAAGAAGGAUUACCACUCACGGGAAGCACGAGGUUGUAGAUUACCAGGGAAAUAGCACCAGGAGAUUAUCUGAGGAAGCAGUCACUUGGUAUAUAGAUGUAAUGGCUCGUAUUUAUUUACAGCUCCACAUUCCUGCUAUGACGACAGCAUUAGGAAGGGGGGGCAGGGUAUACGAGGGCACGAGUUAACUGGAACGCAUCACCCGCUCAGUAGCGAUGCAUUUUUUCCUCUCCAUGCAGCUGCAUCAUUAAAAACUUGAUGACAUUUUGUGUGCAGAACUGCAGUGGUUGCUUCCUUCUUAAAAUACUUUUCCAAAGCACGUGCUCUCUAAUACACAAAGAGAGCUCAUGUAACAUUUCCUUGUCCUAGUGUCUUGUGACCUGGGAACCAAGCUUUGAGUGUAUCUAAACAGCAGGAAAAAGAAGAAAGCUCUUGGGAGGGAGCCUUAUAGCAAACCCAGAGAGUAUGUAGUUUGUUUUAAAGUUGGGUUUGAAUAAACCAUUGGGGAAAGAUUCCUCCUCCCCCACCCCCACCAAAGGUUAUCCUCUAUCAGCUGUUGGGAGCCUGGAUGAGCCACUGCCACAGAGCUGGGGAAAACCAGGCUGAGCUCCUGUUUGCACAUGUGUGUGCCUGUGUUCACCAGAAGCUCAGUUAGUGAUGUAAUGGGAAUUUCUACAUCAUGCUUGUAUGUCAUUCACAUAAAUAGAGCAUCAUGGGAGCCGGGUUAGAUUGAUGUCCUCUCUAAGAAUAGCACUGAUUAUAGCACAGAUUUUCCCAUAUACAGAGCCAUUUUUAAUUCACUGCCUACUGCAGCUGCCAGCCUGCGGAGAUAAUUCCUUCUAGCAGAAUAGCUCUAGAUUAUUAUAGGGAAAUCAAAUUUGCAUAAAAGCAUUUUAUCUCUUUUUUCCCCCCUCUUGUCAAAGUUACCAAACAGAUACUGUCAGUUACUUUUGGGGGAAGAACUUUUUUUUCCCCCCUCAGGAGAGGGAAAGUAACUUUUUGACCAAAUGGCUACUCAAAAACAAAACAAGCCAAAACAAACAAACAAAAACCCAACAAAAAGCAACUUUCAAUUCAACUCCUUGUUUACUUUUAAAAUAAAAAUUUGUGAAAUAGUAUUUAGCAACAGUUUGUAUAGUGUUUUCAGAGCACUUUUACCUACUUACCACUAAUUGUGUUGAUUUGGUUAUUUGAUUAUAAUCUUAUAAAUUAGGCAGAUGUUGAUACUGGGACAGAAGAGAAUGAAUGGCUUGCUUGCAGUUUUAUAACUAGUAUGUGAUAGAAAAGUCUGAGGCAAAAACUGAGGUCUUUGGAUGCAGAGGCUAGAUUUCUUCCAACUUUACUAGAGCUGGUUCUCGGUAUAGAUGUUAGAUAACAAACAGAAUAUUUGUUGGCUUUUUUGUCCCCAUUUUAUAUUUUUAAUCAACAAGCAUUUAUUUUUCUCUCCAAUCCCCAUUUAAAUAAAAAAAAACUCUUUGUAACAAUGUACAUAGUCAAGCAAAACAAAAUUCCAUCCUAUCUAUACCCAAAAAUGUAUAUCUCAUGCUGCAUCUUGAAUUUAUCCAUCUCUCAAGAGGUGGGUAGCUUAGAUCAUCAUUAGUAUAAAAGCAACAGAGUUGGUAAUUUCACUGAACAGAGAUCUUAAGUUUAAAAAAAAAAUAAAACUCUUACCUUCUGUAUCUAUCUACUAAUUAUUGAUUCUAAGGCAGAAGACAGGUAAGGGUUAGGCUGUUGGGGUUAAGUGACUUGCCCAGAGUCACACACAAUUAAGAAGUAUCUGGGGUCAAAUUUGAACCUACAUCCUCCCACCUUCAGGCCUGGCUCUCUAUCCACUGCACUAUGUAGCUGUCCUGAAGUUGAGUUUUUUCAAAGUUGUUUCAGACAGAAAAUUUGUAUUCCUGGUACCUUGUACCUGAUGAUAGUACACUGACUAUUUUCUAGUCCUUUAUAUUUUCUCAGCUUACUCCUCUUUAAAAAAGAGGUUGGAAAUUAUGUUGCAGCUAGUUGAUGUUUUCUGAACUCAGGAUUUCAUCUCUUCUCUCCAGGCCUUUGCAUAUGCCUUCCCCUAGAAUAGACACCCCCCCACUUCUUAGAAUCCUUUCCUUCCUUUAAUAUUCACCAGGGGAGGAAUGGGGUGGGGGCAACUAGGUGACUAAAUAGAUUGAGAGCCAGGUCUAGAAACAGGAGGUCCAGAGUUCAAAUCUGGCCUGACAUACUUCCUAGCUGUGUGAUCCUAGACAAGUCACUUAACCUCUAACUGCUUAGCCCUUACUGUUCUGUUGCUUUGGAACCAAUACACAGUAUUGAUUCUAAGAUGGAAGGUAAAGAUAAAAAAAAAGACUCAUCCCAGGUGCCACAUCAUAAAGAAAUCUUUUCCUAUUUUUUAGUGCUGCCCCUCACAAAUUGUACUAUUUGUUUCUUUAAACCUUUAUCUUCUGUCUUAGAAUCAAUACUGGGUAUUGGUUCCUAGGCAGAAGACCACUAAGGGUUAGGCAGUGGGGGUUAAGUGACUUGCCCAGGAUCAUAUAGCUAGGAAGUGUCUGAGGCCAAAUUGGAACCCAGGACCUCCCAUCUCUAGGCUUGGGUUUCAAUCUGCUAAACCACCUAGUUGCCCUCAAAUUAUUCUAUUUGUGCAUCUUUAUCACAUUGUAUCAGUAGAAUAUAAAUUCCCUGAGAUCAGGAACUACUGAUUUAUUUUUGUAUCUGGCAUCGUCUGGUACAGAGCCUUGCAACAUUUAGAAAUCCUUCAUACAUGCUUGUUGACUUGAAUUGAAUCCCAUUUCACCAUUAGGGAAGCAGUGUGACUCAACAUUUGCCUCUUAUUUCAUUGUUUAUUGAAGCCCUAGUGCUGUGCUGUGACUGGAGUGCUUGCGUGAUUACACUGACCAUGCAAUAAUGAUGAUGUCAUGGGUCUUUAUCAUGCUUGAGUUUCCUAAAAGUCCUCAUUGCAAUUGUCUGGUUACUUAAUAUUUGCAAUACCCUUCUGAGAGGGGCACCUCAGAGGCUGAAGGGCCACGAGCUCUAUGAGUUUUGUGUGCUAUUGUACAAAGGGCACUGGAUUUGCAGCCAAAGAUCUGGGUUGGAAUGCUGCCUUUACUCUUUACUGAUUUGGUGACUGACCUGAGGUCAGUCACUUGCUGUGGGGGUUGGACUGGAUGAGAGCUGGUCUCUUCUAGCUCACAAUCCUGUCAUCCUGUAGCCAGUAAAGCACGUUCUCUUAAGAGUAGACAUGUGAUAUUGGUCUGUGAGAUCCUUUAAUGUAAUAGAUAAAUUCCAAUUUGAUGUAGCAGCUUAAUUAAAUCCUUUUGAUUUAGCUGUGGAAAUUAUGUUACACCGUUGCCUAAAAAUAAACCCAAAGGCCAAGUGACCUGUUGGGAUGGAUGUUUGUGUCGUGGGUGUUCUUUGGCCAGCCAGAAAUGUAGGCUUGGCUACAGUCUCCUGACUUCUGUUCUAGGGAAGGCUGGAUGGAUACCCUUGAGAGAUGUUGUAGCUUAGAGGGUUCAUUGAAUGUUCCAGGUAGCUAUUAGAUUAGAAGACCACUAAUAUGGUUCUCUUCAAUUAGUGGAUAAACAUUUAUUAAGUAUUUUUAUUAUGUUUCAGGCACUGUACUAAGAACUGAAGAUAGAAAGGCAAAAUCUGUCCCCACUGUCCUUUCUUUUCCUCUCUCUCUUCUGAAAGGCUGAUUCCCCUCAAAUACACUACUCUCAAGGAGCCUACAUUCUAAUGGGGGAGACAACAGAUGAAUAACUAGGUACAUGGAACAUAUACACAUAGCAGAUGAAAAGGAAAGGCAUUAGCAUUUGGGGAAACUAGGAAAGGUAUCCUUUAAGGGGUGUUUGAUUUGAAUCUCAGAAGAAAACAAGGAAUCCAGGAGAUGGAAAUGAAUUGGGGGAGAACAUUCUAGGCAUGGGGGUGGGGGUGGUUAGUGCCAAGGCAUGGAGAUGGGAGACAACGCAAGUAGGGUUGUGUAGCUGAUUUAUAGUGUGGUUGGAGGGGAAUAAGGUAUAAGAAGACUGGACAAGUGGGGAGAGGCCAGGGUAUGAAGAGAUUUAAAUGCCGAGCAGAGACUUUUAUAUUUGAUUUUGGAUACUGGAUUUCCUGGAUUUGAUAUCAGAGCUAAUUGAAUAGAAGGGUGACACAGUCUUUCCUAUGCUUCAGGGUAAAUUGGAAUAGGGAGGGAUUUGAGUCAGGAAGAUCAGUAUGAAGACUGUUGAAGGGGCCUAGGUAUGAAGUGAUGAGAGCCCUUCAGCAUCCCUAUUCCUCUCUUCUUUUUUUCAAAACUCCCCCUUUCCAUUUCACACAACACUUUGUUUUGCAAAUGUCUAAUCAUGCACUUAUUUCAUAUUAUUUAUACUUGUUAUUUUCCUUGGUGUGUGAUACUCCUCCUGGACUUUAAGCUCUACCAGAGCAGGAGAAGCAGGUCUUGUUUAAACUUUUUAUCUUUUUCAGAUCCUAGUAAUAGUACUCUUCCCAUUAAAAAGUGCUUAAUAAAUAUUUGCAUAAUGAAUGAAUGAAUGAAUGAAUAGACUCUUAAGUGUCUGUGAUUCUGUAAAUUGCUUUGUGGCUAUUUGUGCAGAACAUGACCACAGGAGGUGCUACCUCAAAUAAUUUCUUUUACAUAACCUGUCAAUAGCUUACAUUUCACCAGAGCUUUCUUUCCUCCUCUCUUCUCCUCUCCCUUUCUCUAUUAUAAUUAUUAUUUUUUGACUCAACCUAAUUCAAAUACAAAUAAUCAAGAAAAGUGACACAUUAACUUUUGUUAGUUGCUUGUAGCUCUAUGUGAAAGAGUUGAUUAGAUCUUUUACUAGGAAGCAAAUUUCCAUGGAUAAAUUUAUAAAGGAGGCAUUGAUUGUCUGAGAAUAACCAAGGAAGUGGAAUGCUCUUCCUUGACAGAGACCCUUACCUCUCUGGCUUUGGAAGUUGGCCUCAAGCAGCAGAUGCUGAGUCAGACAGCUCUGAAGUAUUACUAUUGCUGCUUCUCAUCUCUCUGUUUGGAUCCAUGGGUCUAAAAACUAAGAAGUUCUCUUGGCUGGGCUACAGCAGCUUAUUCAGGGUCAUUGAAUUUUAGAACUUAGAAUCAACCUUGCAGAUCAUCUCAUCCAGCCCUCUUAUUUUACACAGGAGGAAACUGCAGGGGUUUAGUUGCUUUGCCUAAGUCCAUAGAGGCAGUAAGUGCCAGAGUUAGGAUUGAAACCCAAGUCCUCUGACUCCAGAUAUGGUAGUCUUAGCCCAGUGAAUCACACCUGUCCUGCCAGAGAUCGCUGGCAAACCAAGAAGGUGGCGGGCCACCUAUUGGUGGCUCUUCAGAACCCAGCCUAAAAAUAGUCAAUGCCUGCUGCACAGUGUAGCUCUGGGCUUGGCUAUUGAACCUUCUCCCUCCCUAAUUUUAAGUACUUCCUUCUCAGCCUCAGAAACUGUAACUGACUUCCAUUUAUGGAGCUAGGAGUAGCAGAAACUUAGACCAUUGAGUGUGAAUUAGUGUAAUAAUUUGAUGUUUUGUUCCAUUUUUAGGAUAUGGUAAUAAUAUUAAUGAGAUUGAGGGAGAGAGAAGACUAAUGAGAGAAUGACAUCUGAGGGCAGCAUGGCUGCCAUGAGGGCCACUCAUUAGCAGCCUGUGACUUGGUACAAAGUCACUUAAACUUUCUGGCUUUUCUGGGUGUUAAAUGAGGCUGGUUGGGUCAGAUGAUCCAAAUUCUGUAUUUCUCACAUGUUCUAUAUGCAUUCUUCCUAGGAUUUUAGUAUUAUUCCCUGAUACUAUUAGCUCAUAGUCUUAUUAGAGCAUAUUUGAUGUAAUACAGGUGUCCCUUCCACAUCAUGGGGAUUAGGAGGGUGGCACCCCUGCCAUCUGGAAAAUCCAUGAAAAAUUUUUUGACUUUUGUGUUUUUUUCGCAAACUUUAACUUUUUUUACUUAUUUUAACAAUAAAAAAGAAACUGUGUAUAUUUAUGGCAUUGAAAGAUAACAUAUGUAAGUAUUGUGCAAUACUAUUCAUAUAUUUUAGACAUUUCUGAGAUUCUAGAUCUUUUCUGUGUCAUCUGCUGACUAUUGUGUAUAGUCUAGGGCUUCUGAAAAACUCCCCCCAAUUUUCUUAUUUCACUUAAUUUCUUUUGCUGACCCGAGAUAUAUUGAAACCAUGAUGGGGAAAGCUGUGAUGUGGAAGAGAUAUCUGUAUUGUUUAUAAUAAUUUUAUAAAUGUGAGCUACUGUAAGUGCUUGCUAAUAUAGGAUGAUAUUUUGGGUGCUAUAGAAGCAAGGCAGUGUAUGAGAGUAGGACCAUCUAAUAAUUCAAUAUUUAAGAUAAAAAGUUGUACCUGUUUUCCCUUUAAAUAAAUGUAUCUUAGUGUUGUGUGACCUGUUAUGGUAGCAAUUUUUUUUUUGCUAUUUUGAAACCAUUUUAUUAAAACAAAGAAUAUGAGAUUCCCUGAGAUUGUUUUAAAAUAUACUGUCAAUUUCUAGAACAGAGUUUAACUGUAGGUAGAGAAUCAAUUUGUUAUAAGCUCUUAAUUUUCUAAGGGGUUAAUUAUGUUGCUUGUGUCUUAUUUAUUUAUUUAUUUUUUUUUGAAGCAGCGAUGGAACAUUUUUAUUUUUUUUUUAUAAUUUUAUAGUAUUUUAUUUGUUCAUUUCCAUGCAUUUUUCAUUAAAGACAAAGAUCAUUUUCUUUUCCUCCCUCCCACCCCCCGUGGCCGACGCAUGAUUCCACUGGUAUCAUAUGUGUUCUUGACUUGAACCCAUUGCCAUGUUGUUAGUAUUUGCAUCAGAGUGUUCGCUCCGAGUCUUUCCUCUGUCAUGUCCCCUCAGCCAUUGUAGUCAGGCAGUUGCUUUUCCUCGGUGUUUCUAUUCCCUCAGUUUGUCCUCUGCUUUUGGAUAGUGUUUUUUUCUCCUUGAUCCCUGCAGAUUGUGCAGGGACAUUACACCUAUGGUAGCAAUUUUUAAUCAAUAAGCAUUUAUUGAGCACAUAUGUAUAUACAUGUAACAAGUGAAUGUGUACAUACACACAUCCUUAUUUCUGUCUAUAUAUGAAUGUGUGUGUGUAAAAUGUACACAUGCUGGUGACUCUGUGUUAGGCACUGAAGAUGCCUAAGGCAAUAAAUAAUAGAACCCUUGUUGUCUCGAGGAAAAUGACAUAUCAUAAAAGUAUAAGGAUAGGGACUGAACCUGUAAUUUCUUUAGUACAGGAAACUCCCAGGUAAGGAAACCCCCUCAAUAAGUCAGGCUGUUACUUUCUCUGUAAUUUAUUGUCUUAAGAGAAUUGCCUAGAAUACUGAGAAAUUAAACAACUUGCUUGGGGACACAGCCAAUAUGUAUCAGAGGCAUGACUUGGAUGCAAAUCUUCCUGGUUCUGAGUCCCUUUAUUCAUUAUGACAUACUGGUAUACAUAAAAAUAUAGGAAAAUAUGUGGGAAAGGAGAGGCAAGGAACUAGAGGCUGGGGGUAUCAAGAAUGGGCGAAAAGUUCCUAGGUGGUGCAAGAGCUAGGAGAACAUAGUUUAUAGAUGAUCAAUUUCAUAGACAACUGAGCCCCUUGUUUAGUUUUUAUAUCCUUGGUAUGGAGCCUCAUGCUUUGAACAUAAGCCCUUAACAAAUGUUUGUUAGAUUGAGGGCAGGGGAUCAUGUUUUCUAUCUUGUUCUAUAUCUGCUCACUUAUUUGCAUAUAGUAGGUACUUGAUAAAUGUUCCUUGAGUGUUUGGGUUUAUGAAUGGAUACAGGCUGCUCUCACUUCUGGAGGGAGACAUUUUCUAGAUGUUCUGAUAAAUAAGGACAUUUGAGAGUGCCUUUAAUUAGGGGCCAAAACAGAAGAUUAGCAAAAGUGAUCAGUGCUUACUAAGGCACAGAUUUCCUGAGAAAGGAGCCACAAUGAAAUAGAAAGAGAUUUGUACCUGAAGAUUUCUCCUUGAUAAAAUCUGAAGAACAAAAUGAGGACAUCAUGCCUGUGAGGCAUCAGUGCUUGUGUUCAGAUCCUACCUCUUCUAUCCGCUACCUAGGCUACAUGGACAAAUCAUUUCAUCUCUUUAAGUCUCAGUUUCCUCAUCUGUAAAAUAAAGUGUUGAACUAGGAAACCUUUAAGGUCCCUUCAAGUACUAAAUGUGGUGACUCUUUGAUCAAAAGGAAAGUUUUUUAGGGAAGGGGCAAUCUGAUAUCACAUCCAUCCUUUCACUCUGGCACCCCCAGGUUUCAAUACUCCCUCCCUCUGAUUACAUUGAUUGACUGUAUUUUUCUACACCACUUUUCAAAUAGCAACUUGACUGCAAUGGUUUACAAAAGAAAUCUGGGGCUGGGUAGACUGUCACCUGCUCCUUCCUUGUCAUCAUCCUGCUCUAGGGAAUAGGGCAACUAUUGGAAGAAAAACAGUAGGGAAGGGGCAUAGCUUUGGUCUAAUAGGAAAAAAAUAGGAAUUCAGGAUAUCCAUAUCCCGGCUCUGAUAACUAUUAGGCAGGUGUUCAUGGACUUAAAAGCUAAGUCUCAAUUUCCUUAUCUGUCAAAUGAGAAUAAUUGUGUUACCUUUGCUGUGUUAAAAUGCUUUAGAAAUAUUAAUGUGAUUGUUAUUUUCAUUUAAGUCCCUAGAUUUAUGACCCCUUUUGAAAAUGAGAAUAUUCUUAAGUAUAAAUACCACUUCAGUUUUUGAUUUUGAAAGCAGGAAAACAAAAACAGAAAGACUAAUCAUCAAAUGAAAAUGAAGAACUUUAAAACCCAGUAGAGCCAUAAAAUAAUGUUAUUAGCAUUUUAAAAAAGUUCUGUCCUUAAAUUACCAUGAUGCUCACUGGACCACUUAAGAGAGUUUUUCUUCUGUUGUUGAAUGAAGCCAGGUCAUUCCUAUUCUGUCACCUGGUGUCCGUCUGUUUUCUCCCUUUCUUCUCCCCCAGCUCCUUAUCCAUAGCACACAUUUAUAAGAUGACUGGCUUUAGCUGGAAUCUUUCAAACAGAAACCCUCUUCUUCCCUUGGCAAAGAGUUAAGUGGUUUACAGGCAACUUGUCCUUGUGACUUGGGACUCAGCAGCAGCAUUUUCUAAUCAACUAAACUAACCUGCCAAAAUCUGUGAAUUACAUGAAAUUACUGACUGACCAGUUGUCCUGUCAUCAUAUUAAAGUCAACAUUAGCCAGUGGGCAACACUAAAGUUGCUAUGAUAAGAAUAACAGCUAGCAUUUAUCUAGCACUUAAAGGUUUGUGGAACACAUUUCAUUCAUUAUUUCAUUUUUUCCUCAAAACAACUUUAUUUAGUAGGUGAUACUUCACCCAUUUUACAAUUUGAGACUGAGAGAAGUGACUUACCCAGGGUCACACAGUUAGUGAAUGAUUGUGGUAGGAUUUGAACUUGGAGUCUUCUUGAUUUCAAGUCUAGUGCUCUAUCAGCUAUACUGCCUAGCUGCCUCAACUAUACUCCCUUGAGAGACAUAAAAUUCCAUGUUGUUUUUCCAAGGGAUAUGUAAUCUCAUCACUGUGAGAAUUCCAUCCAGUUAUAUAGAGAGCAAUGUGCCCAUGUCUAUAUGAAUCUUAUUCUUGGCACCUGAAAAGUUAGUCCUAGGGAAUUCUCCUGAUAUAAUGGGGUUUCUUCCUGGAGUUCUCUUAACAACUCAGGGAUGGCAGUAGAGCACAUAAUCUGUCCAUUGUUUAUCAGUUCCUCACUCUUGCUACAUGACCAGCUCAUCUUUGUACUCAAACAUUUUUUUUUUUGGUAUGGUAACAUCAGAACUUCUUAGGUAAAAACAAUACAGCUGACCUGAUUUCUGACUACAUUAAAGAACAAAAACAAACCCUAACUAUCUGCUUUAGAAUCAGAUUGGCUCUAAGGCAGAAAAAUUGUAAGGGCUAGGCAGAAGGGGUUAAGUGACUUGCUCACGGUCACACAGCUAGAAAAUGUCCGAGAUCAGUUUUGAACCCAGGACCUCCCAUCUCUAGGUCUGGAUCUCAAUCCUCUGAGCUAACUAGCUGCUACCUUUCCUACAUUUUUAUAAAUUGCCUUAGUUGUUUGAUGAAAAUUAAUUUCAGGUAAAAUACAUCAAAGCACAUGAAAAUGCAGAUUUUUUCAUUUUUUGUGUUCAUUUGUCAAUAUAGAGAAAUAUGUUUUAAGACAAUCACCAACACAAGCCAAAUAAAGGACAAAGCUAAUCAAAUGAAGGUGAGCAUAUGAAGCAGAUAGAAGCUAGCAAUGUAUGCUAGAGUUUUGCAAACUAAGUAAGACUUGGUUGCCAAUUUGCUUGGGCUAUUUCUAGUAAGCAGGGAGGUGCACUUGGAGAUUUGUAUACUAGAUUUGCUCUCCCCUUGUUUUCAUAUAACAAAUUUACUUUAAAAGCAUAUGAUGUUUGCCUGGGUACAACCAUGAUUAAUAACAGCAGUGAGAUUUGGUUCAGGUACAGGACAGUGGAGCCAACAGACUGGAACGGGAACUGUGGAGGGCAGACAGCAUCGUCACUCUUCCCCAUUAUCACUGGCAGUUAAAUUAAAUAGUCCUUCUCUACCAUCCCCUGGUUGGGACCCUGUGCUUGUUAAAGAGCUUGCCAGUUCUUUUCUUUUGGCUUACAUUUCAGUCUGGUAUUAUUAGCAGUUGGCUGAAGCAUGUAGAGACCCCAAUCUCCUGUAGAAGCAUUCUGUGAGGAAAGUUAUAGAGUGGUCUAAAGCCAUCCAUGAAGGAGCCAUCCUUGGGCUAAAACUGAGGAAAGGACAGAAAUGUGUGUGUGUGUGUGUGUGUGUGUGUGUGUGUGUGUGUGUGUGUGUACACCCAGACACAUAUAUAUUAUAUACAUACAUAUAUUACACAGAUAGGUAUUUAUAGUAUUGAUUGUAUAGUAAUCCAUUGGGUUUAGUGCUUUACCUUCUGGUUGACUACUCUCUUCAUUUGGAGCCCAAAAGACAAAACUCAGUGACCAGAGAUAAUGGUAAUCUGAGCGGAAAGAAAGAGAGAUAAAUAAAAUACUUGCUGUUUUUAUACUUGAGCAGUCUUGUUAUCCUUUCUCACAGUCCUAGAUAAGGAGCUUUGCGCAGUCUGCACUGGCUGAGGCAUUGGGAAAGCAUGCAGAAUUACAAAGAUAGAUGCCGUUUCUGGAAAGGACUCAACUUCUGCCACAGAUGUUGUCAUCUGGAGACUGAAGGCAGGAAAAAAAGAUGGUGCCACUAUGCCAUUGAUUAGCUGCCUUAGGGAGGACUUUAUGAGACAAGUGACUUCAGAAGAAUUGGACCACGAAAGAAAGGAAAAACUUGAAAAAUGAAGAUAUGGAUAUUUUGUUUUGAAUGUCAGUAUAUUUAUUAAGUUGGUCUUGAAAAGAAUUAUAAACAACAUUGUUGAUGUUGACUAGUGAUACCGUAAAAGAAACAAAUCUACUUUUUUGGGGGUAGUGGUCGGUUAUUUGUGGCAGUUGAAACUGUAGCACUGAAGAAUCAUUUCAGUCUCACUGCUAGAGAUCGAGACCUUGUGUUUUUCAGACUGGCAUGAAAGAAGGCAUAGCCCAACAGAAUUCAGCCAAAAAGGUUUUAAGAAAAAUAACAACAGAUUUGUGCAGUUAAGCUUCCAUUAAUUGGAACAUUUAAGCGACUGUCAUCUUUUCAAAGGCACAAUAAUGAUAAUCAUACCUUACAUUUUUAUAGCAUCUUCCAGGCAGGGAAGCCAUUCAAACAAGAACUGAAAGAGCCACAAAAUGUAAGGUUUGGCACUUACAAGCUUCUGUCCGAUGCCAGUAGAAGAAAAGAAAAAAUACUUAAGAAGCCAAUUUGGAAAACCAUUUACCUUAAAUAGAGUCACAAAGGGUCAGACAAUUUGGAAUUAAUUCAGUAUUUAAGUACCUACUAUGUGCAAUGUACGAUGAACUACACUGGAGGAAGAUAUUAAUACAAAUAAAAUAUAGACUCUCCCCCUUAAAGAGUUUGGUCUUUUAUAUCUUGUAAUAUAGUUUUCAAGUCUAAACUUAAAGCAUUCAUGAAACUAAUUUCUGUUCUUAAGAAAGUAAGGACCAAAAUUGCACCAGCCAACAAAAGAUGUGCUAGUCUCCUUUACUUCUUGCCAUUGUUUCUUCUCAAGAGAACUCAGAGAAGUCUUAAAAAGGGCAACAUAAGAUGUGUCAUGAAGGGAAACACAACUAAGUAGGGCAUCAUGCUAGUUCCUGGGAGAGACAAAGAAAAAGAUGACUUCUUUUACUCAACAAGUUUGAAAUCUGGUAAGGAAAUGAAGCACAAUUAUAACAUGAAAGACAAUAUAAGAAGAUAGGAAACAUAAUUGUUCAUUCCUCAUUUUCUUGUGAAAUUCAUUGUUUAUAAAAAGCUCCUUGGAGUAUAAUUCGACCUUAUUGAUCACGAUUGUAAAAAAUACAACUCUUUAAGUAAAGCAAUGGAUAAACAUUACCAUAGAUGUUAUAUAAAGUAAGGAAAAACCUUAAUUUGGACUGGCAAGCACAAGUAUUUGUGAAAAAUGUGUUCUUUCUUCAUUUUCAGCUGCGGAAAAAAUUCUGCUCUGGAAAAGAAUCUCAUUUUGAAGCUGAUAAGGUCUAAUUUCCUAGGGAAAUCUUAAAGACACUUUAGAUACUGCAGCUAAAGAGGAUUUUGGCCAUAUUGCACUUUUUGCAUUACUAGUUUAUCCCAAUUUUGCCUGAAAAUGUUGUUACAUGGGGCAUUCUAUUUCUUUAGCGUUAUUAUUUGCUAAAGAUUAACUCUAUGUCUAUUGUUUAAAAGAAAAAGAAGCAACUAAGACAGUAAAAAAGGAAAACUAAAAUGUUUUAAUCUCAUCAAUUUUUUUCUAAAUCAUCAACUGUAUUUAUGUAUAUCAUAUGUUCUUUCUCUACUGAAGACUAUUUGAGCACAAAAUUUGCCAUAACUCUAGACUGGGUACCAGAAGUGAUGAGUGAAAGAGUACCAGAUCUGGAGUUAGAAGUCCUAGGUUCAAAUCUUGCAUCUGUAAUUUAAUACUUGCAAAUCACUUCAUUUUCUUGGACCUCAGUUUUCUCAUUUGUAAAAUGGGAGGCUUUUCUAUGAUCCCAAGAUUUAGAGUCUAAUUAAUUUGCUGUGUGAUUUUGGUAGUCACUGUUUCUUUUGGUCUCAGUUGUCCUCAUGUAUAAAAUAGGGCUAAUAAUAUCUGCUUAUCUAAUAAGAAAUCAUUAAAGAGCUAUAUAAAUAUAAUUUGUUUCUUAUUGUUAUGUUUUAAUGGAGGGAUGCCUGUUGUCAUAUAAAAAUUCGGUCUUGAUCUUCUAUACAGAUGUAACACUUUGUUAAUUGAAAUCAUUUAAGAGUUAAUUGUUUCCUCAUCAAUCCAGAUUGAUGUAAUAUUUAACAUUAGACAAAAGUAAGACUGGCAGCACUUCCUACACUCAAGGAAUUUAUAAUCAAGUAUGGAAAAUGAAAUAUAAACAUGAAUAACGAUAGUAAAAAUAGAACAUAAUGUUGUAUGAGAGGUACAAACAAAAUGCUAUGAGUUGAGGCUGAGAAGCUAGGUGACUCGGUAGAUUGAGAGCCAGGCUUAGAGAUAGGAAGUCCUGGGUUUAAAUAUGACCUCAGAUACUUCCUAGUUAUGUGAUCCUGGGCAAGUCACUUAAACUCAAUUGCUUAACCCUUAUUGUUUUCUGCCUUGGAACCAAUACUUAGUAUUUAUUCUAAGAUGGAAGGUAAGGGUUAAAAAAAAGUUCAGAGGCAAGGCAUUUCACUUCCAGUUAGGGGUCUGUGAAACCUUGUGCUAGAAGAGGUUCAUAUCAGCUGAGUAUAGAAGAAUGAGUAGGAUUUCAGUAGUCAAAGAUCCUACCCCAAUACCUUACUACCUGCCAUCUGCACUCCAGGGAGAUUCUUCCCUAACUCAGAAUUGGAACUGAAACUUUUUCAAAGCUUAUUAACAAUUCAGUUUCUCUGUGGACAAAAUUCUUUUGGUUAACUUUUAAAAUUAAAAACAUUUUUUAAAACAUUACCUUCUGUUUUAGAAUCAAUAUUAUGUAUUGGUCCCACGAUAGAAGAUUGGUAAGGGCUAGGGCCUAGGCAAUGAGGUGACUUGUCCAGGUUCACAGUUAGGAAGUAUCUGAGCCCAAAUUUGAACCUAGAACCUCCCUUCUCUGGGCCUGACUCUUAAUUUACUGAGCCACCCGGCUGUCCCCAAAUUGAAAAAGUUUAAAGAAAAUCACAAUAUAUUAGCCUUACAGAAAAAAACUGAAUGCUCUUAUAGCUUCUUGUCAUCUUGCUUACAUUCAAAUCUGCUGCUUGAUUGUUUUUUAAAAGUUUUUUAGAUCCCAUCUGCACCUGAAUGAGAAUCCCCUCUCUGAUAUGACAAGUGACCAUCCAUCCAUCCAUCCAUCUACUGCAUUAGAGGGAACCCACCAUUUGCUGAGAUCAUUUCACUCUUGAAGCACUUUUGAAAGAAGACUUUGCCUUGAAUCAAAUCUAAAUAAAUCUAUUUCUCUUCA